UAACCUUAAAUCCAUUAAAUUCAUAAUACCCACUGCAAAAAAUAUAAAUUAAAUAAUGUAACAUUAAAAGGCAAUUCUAUAUCUCAUUAAGAUAACAAUUUUUUCACAUACAUCUAUUAAAAUAGAAAUAAGCUAAGACUAUAGUUACAACUACUAAAGUAUUAAAUAAAUAAGAAAUUUAGUAAAAAUGAAAGAUACAAAAUUAAAAAUAAAUGAUAUACAAUUUAAUAAAUAGAAAAAUACAACAUAAAAAAAUACAAAGAAAAUAAGUUGUGUCUUUGAAUUUCACAUAUUACAAGAGCUUAUAUUGAUCUAUACAAAGCAAUGAUAUUCUAUUAAAUAUGCAAUUUAUCAAAUUCAUCCUCAACAAAGGCAUCUAAGUAAAAAUUAUCUCCAAUCAAACUACCGUUUCACAAACCUCCACACAUCUCAAACGCUACACAUGUAUGAUUCAACUGGCAUUAACCUGACAUAACGACAAUGUUCCAAAAUCCACAAAUCCAUGCCAUCACGACGAGAGAAUUUACGAUAAUGACCCAAAGAUGAACCCAUCUCUGUAAAUUUUAGGAGACGGAAAUACAUUUACUUUAAAAAAAGUAAAUUAUUUUAGUAAUCCCAACAGCCAAGGGGCAAGCACAGGUCAACCAAAGCCUGAAUAGCCUUCCACUAAUGCAAGCGUCACACAAAUUCCUAAAACAUUCCACUCCAAUUGUCCGAAACACCUGCGUAGUAAUACUGUGUUCAUUGCACAAUUCGAUUUACGUCAUACUUCGACUUUGAGGCACCCAAGGGAAACCUACACAAAUACAGAUUAGAUUUGAAAGAUAAAUGACAAACAUUUUAAAGGUACACUACACCCAACCACCCGAUAAAUGUUAGUACAACUCAUACAAUAUUUGUCAGUGAAACGUACAGCCGAAAUUCAUUCCACAACACAAAAAUCGAAUUCGCACCGCUACUCUCAGCGACUCAGCCAAACGUGACCAUUCCUAACUUACCAACACCACACAGCAAAUCCUCAGUAAAACACAACAGACCACCAGCGCGGUCUUUCAACUCCGAGCUUCAAGGCAGCCAUAUCAGAACAUCACAAGGCCGGCUGCAAACGAGACAACACUAAGAAAUGGAACAACCCACACCAAAAUCCAGCAGAAAUAGUGGUCAUCAGGGUAGAGAAUUGCUUACUACCUCCUAAACAACAAAAUAAGACCAAGUACACGUCCGCAAUCCAGGAGAGUAUCGCAAAACCAAAAACUACCGCAAAACACAACCCCCAGAAAUCAAAGCUUCUUUCUUAACUUCAGAUCUACUGCAACUGAUCAAGCUCAACAAUGUCUGCACCACAUAUCACUUCCACCUCCUCCGUCUCCUACUCUCCAUUACCCAUCCCCCCUUCCACCCUCCAUUCCAAUCAUCACCAUCCACAUCCACAACUCUCUGCACGCCAAAAUGUAAUUCUCCAAUAAAUAUAACCAUAGCACCACCUCGUCCCUAAAUCUGUUCAGAAUCUAGUGAUUACCGUAUCUCUCUCCAUGGUGCACAUCUUAACCAUGUAGUCUCCACUACUUUACUACACAACAGAGUUCUGAAAAAAUCAAGUGGUAUCGGACAUUCCAAUUCCUACGCAACCAAAAUAAACACAGAAGACCGCCUCCUACCCACUGCUUCCUCUAACUCUCGGCCCUCCCCCUCCUCCCCUACCCCUUCUCCUACACCACACCUACUGGCAGGUCACUCCAUUCCCAUCCGACCACUCGAUCGGCUCCUCGCCGCCUGUGGCUCCACAUUUCUGGACCAUGGUCAUGCAGCCAAAAUCCUGCCGCCUUUACUUUAACACUAGGUCGACACGCCUGCGCCCAUCCCAACACAAUCCCAUCGUCAGCCCCGCAACACAAAUCCCGCCACAAAUCACCCUCCCACCACCACUUCCUUCACGCAUCGCACGCACCUACUACCCGCCCCACAUCUCUACCCAUCAUGCGCUACCUCGACACCGCUCUUACCACUACUCUCCACCAUCUAAGCACCCCCUCCCCUCCCCCCGCACCCUCCGACCCCCCAUCAACAUCCAUGCUGGUAAUAUUUGCGANNNNNNNNNNNNNNNNNNNNNNNNNNNNNNNNNNNNNNNNNNNNNNNNNNNNNNNNNNNNNNNNNNNNNNNNNNNNNNNNNNNNNNNNNNNNNNNNNNNNCGCCUCGCCCCACCGGCGUCGGCCCGUACCGGCUGUCCCCGCGCCCCCCGUAUCCGCUCCCUCCUCCCGGACUCCCACCCCCGUAUCCUCCCUGGCUGUACCCCGAUCCGUAGUUGCCCCCGCCGCGACCGCCUCCGCCGAACCCCCCGCCAGCCCGCCCCGACCCCGCCGACAGCUCCUUCGGAAUCGCCUUCUUCACCUCCACCAUCUUGUCGUUCAGCUCGUGGAACGACUUCUGGAUCACGUUCUCAACUGCAUCCUCAGAAUCAAAAGUGAUGAAGCCAAACCCCCGAGGCCUUUGCGUAUUGUGGUCAUACAUAACAACCACGUCUGUAAUAGUACCAAACUGCUCGAAAUACUUUUUGAAGUCAUCCUCUGUAACUGUCGAGGCUAAGCCCCCCACAAAUAUCUUCUUUGUCCUAGUGUGGGAUGUUGCAGGCCCUUGGCCACCCACGCUGUUGCUCCUAGGUAUACUCUGCUGUUCGUCUCUCGGCACAGCUUUUUUCGCUUCCACCUAGAAUGGGAAAAAAAAAUAUUUAACAAAGACACGCUACACAAAGUUAUACAACUGCCACACAACCUCAUGCCACCAACCACCAUCACCACACGCACUCCCGCAUGCCACCCCCCUCCCAUGCAUUCAACUCCACCUCGAUCCCCCUUCGCCCGACACCUACCGCCCCCCUCCCUCCCUCCCACCCUCGCGCCCUACCGCACUGACCUCACCACGCCACCGGCCCUCCCCUCCCCUCCCCGAGUCCAAGACAGAGCGCUUACCGUUCUUCCGUCGAUGGUGUGCUUCUCGCCGGCCACCCGAUCGGCCACGCUCGGGUCCGCGAAUAUCACGAACCCGAACCCCCGCGCGCGCCCCGUCGCGCGGUCCUUCAUGAUCACCGUCUCCGCCACCUCGCCAUAGCUCUUGAAGUAAUCGCGCAGCUUCUCCUCCGUCGUCUCCCAAGAGAUGCCGCCGAUGAACAGCUUGCCCUGAUCGGAGUCCAUGGCCGCCGACCCGUCCUGGUCCGCCAGACUUCCCGCCCUCCUAACUCCCGCUGAAAUGAUCAGAAAAAUCGGACUCCACAAAACCCAUAUGCCCCUCGCAUACACAGAGGCUCAAAUACCCUUACGACAAGAUCAAAACAAGAGCAGCGGCAUCGACAAUUCCCAUGCAACGCGCGAACCAACAGGCCGCGGCGUAGCAGGGGAGGGAGGGAGCGGACGCGAGAGCCUAGGGUUAGCAGGAGACUGGAGCUCCGAGGAGCACUGAUUCAAAGACGGGGAGAGGGAGGGGCAGCCAAGAAGGCAAGAGUCGCGACGGGAAGGGAAGGGGAGGGAAGGCCAGUCCCCCCCCCCCUGGCUUGGGUUUCGCGAACGUCGGGAUCGCAUGAAGAUUUGGGCAGGUUCAUUCAUUGAUUACCAUUUCCUCUUACGGGGCAUUCACGCAAUUCUUUGUGCUCUCGGGGCAAUUGUGAAGCACAAUCGCCCUUGAUCACGAAUUUCGCUCUGUCUGUCUAGUUAUGUUCUUUCUGGUAUUCCUUUUUGGGUGUUGGAGAGUAACGGCAUUUUGCAAAAAAAUUCAACAUUCAUAACAUUUCAUGGAACCAUUGUGGGUUUGCUUUUAUUAUAACUAGAGGAAUAAUAUCUUUAUUUCUUUGUCUACCAAGCUUAUUAAAUUACAAAGGAAUCACUAUAUAUAUAUAUAUAUAUAUAUAUCUCCAUUAAUUUUAUGUAUCAAAUAAAUUUAAACAAAGUAUUUUUGUAAAAAAUUAUACAAUUUUCUACAAUAUAGAUGGUAUGAUCAUUAAUGGAUUUUUUUCUUUAAAGAUUACAAAUGUUCAAAUUACAUUUUAAUUUUAAAAAAUAAUAUGUAUAUUAAAAUUAAGAUUUUUUAUUUUUAUUUUUUUAAUAUAUAUUUAAGUCUUUUAUAUUAUUUUCAUUAUGAAAAUAUAUAUUAAAUAUCAACAUAUGUUAUUAAAUUUUUGUAAAGAAGAAAUUUAAUAUAGUCAUUUUUGUAUAAAUGUCACAAACAUACAUAUUUAUUCUAAUAAUUACUUAUAUGAUUAAGUAGAAAUAAGUAAAUAUAGAUUAAUUUCAUAAUAUCUUCUAGAAAAGCUUCUUAGAAGCAUCAUAGAUAUGGUUUUGACUUUACAUGUGUUUGUAGUUAAUAGGUAGGUUAGAAAUUUUGUCAACAAGUUAACCACAAGCUAUAUAUACUGGUAGCUUAUGAAACAAGCUUAUUAUAUGGCACACAUAUAGAAAACUUACUUUGUAAGACAUAUGUCUAGCAAAGUCAAUACACAUUGGAGGACUUAUAGAACAUCGUGACAUAACUCUUAGUUAGAUAGUAUAUGUGGAGGUAAGAGUGAAGUCUUGCUUUACUCAUGUCAAAGCCUUUUUAGUUCUUUGUCCUAUUUUUAGACUUUUUAAUCUACUUGUCUUUAGCAAUAGCCAUUCUAGUUCAAUAUAUUACCAUCUUUGAGUGAUUUCCUAGUCUUUUCAAGUAGUACAAGAAUGUAUUGAGAUUCUCUUUCUUUGAGGUUCAUAUUCUUGAUAAUUUGAUAAAAGUGUUAACUUAUUAUUCUUGUCUUGUUUUAGAAAUGAGUAGUUUAUCCGACUUUUAUUAUUGUAUUUAAAAAAUUGUACCUAUAAACAAACCGUUUAGUUUUUUAAUAUUGAUUUUUUUCUUAAAAAAAGUAAUUUUUUUUUAUGGAAUUUUUUAUUUGAUAUUAAAGGUUGCAGAUUACCUUCUUCUAAUUUAACUUUUUGAAUUUGUUUGAGUUAUCUAUAAAAGAAAAAGAUUAUAGAUACAACUAUCAAUAAAAUUGAGAAUAGAUGUGUAUCAUGGACAUAUAUAUUCAUUCUAAUAUUUACUUAUAUGAUUAAGUAAAAAUAGAUAAAAGUAGAAUUAUUUCAUAAUAUUUUUUAGAAAAAGCUUCGUAGAAGCUUAAUGGAUGUUAUUUUCACUUUACAUAGGUUUGUAGUUGAUUGAUAGGUUAGAAACUUGGUCAAUAAGUUAACCUCAUGUUGGUAGCUUCAAAAAUAAGCUAAUUAUGUGGUCCACAUAUAGAAAACUUACCUUGCAAGUUAAGAUACAUAUCUUGCAAAGUUAAUACAUUUUGGAGGUCUUGUAGGACAUUGCCACAUAGCUCUUAGUUAAGAAUAUGUAUGGAAGCAAAAAUAAAGCCUUCUUCACUCUUAUCAAUGCCUUUCUAGUCUUUAGUCUUGUUUCAAGACUUUCUAGUCUUUUUAUCUUUGGCAAUAACCAUUCUAAUUUAAUACUAUAUCAUCUUUGAAUGACUUUCUAAUUCUUUUGAGUGAUAUAAGAGUGUAUUUAAGAUUUCUUUAUUUGAGAUUCAUAUCCUUGAUAGUUUAGCAAGAAUUCUAACUCAUUAUUCUUAUUUUUUUAGAAGUGAGUGGAAUAUCUCACUUCUACUAUUGUAUAUUAAAGGUUGCAGAUUAUCCACCUAUAAAUAAACAAUUUGAUUUUUUAAUACUAAUUUUUUCCUUAAAAAGAGCAGAUUAUCUUUCUUUAUGGAAAUUUUCAUUUUAUAUUAGAGAUUGUAAAUUACCUUCUUCUAAUUUAAUUUUUUAGAUUUAUUAAAUUAUUUAAAAUAGAAGGAAAAAUUAUAAAUGUCAUACUUAGCAGAAGUGAGAAUAUAUUUACAAAUAUUAUACAUCUUCACAAAUUUGUCAAUAUUCUUAGCAUGAAAAUUUUACACAUCACUAGUGCCAACCAAAGAAACAUUAAUCCUAUAUCUAUAAAAGAAGUUCAAAGUCUACAAUAAGAAGUUGUAUAGUUGAAAAAAAUAAGUAAAUUGACCUCACAACCAAGUCUAGAAAGUUUUGUUUCUAUAAGUGCAAUAAAGUCAAGGAUUAGUAUGCUCGAAAAGUUUGAUGGAAUAAGAUCAAAAUUUCACGGAUUUUUGCAAUAAAUCAAGCUCUAUCUAAGGUUGCAUUUCUUCUAAUACCUUAAUGGAUUUAUUCAAGUUGGAUUUAUAGACUCAUUUUUAUUUGGAAGUGCUUUCUUUUGCUUUACACCUUUGAUGAAAAAAGAUUUACAACUCCUUUAUGAUUUCAAUUCAUUCCUAGAAAUGUUUAUCGCCACAUUCAAAGAGAAUAAUUGAGAAAGAGUAGUAGAGACCAAGCUCUUAUUUUUAUGAUAAGAAUAAUAAUUAGCCACUAUAUAUGCUAUUUAAUUCCAAAACCUUGCAUACAACAUGGAUUGGAAUAAUAAAGCCUUUAUUAAUUGAUUUUGAUAUAGAUUGAAGUAAAAUGUCAAAAUUUUGUUAUUAACAAUAUCAAAAAUAAAAUCUUUGGAACAAUUUAUUGCUCAAGCCAUUGCAUAUGACAAUCAAAUAUUUGAAGGGCAUUAAGAAUAAAGAUUUGGUUGGAGAGGAAUAAAUCAAGUACUAACAACAGCUCCUAAGUUUUUUGAAACUUAUUCAUUAAGGCCAAAAUCAAUACAAAUUGAUAAGAUACAUUUUAAAUCUCUUAUUAAACAAAAACAAGACUUGUAGUUGUCAAGAAGGUUUGUAGCUAUAUUAUCAAGCAUACUAUUCAAUAUUAUCAAAAAAAACAACACAAUCAUAAAAUAAAGAGUAUGGUUGCCAAAGAAGAUGAUGUAUCAAAAAAUAAGUUUUUCCAACUAUAAUAAAGACCAUGUGGUUAGAAUCUUACACAAUUGUUAAUAAAUAUCCUAUUCUCUAUUUAAAUUCCUCACUUUAUUUUAAAAUAAAAGUAUUUUUAGGACCAUAAAAUCACAAAGUCUUAACCUUAUUAGAUUUUAGAAUCUUAUCAUGUUCUAUAAAUAAAGACUUUGUCAAAAAAUAAGAUAUAUCUUUAAUUAAGAAAAUCAAACCUAUACAUCUAGAAAUAAUAGAUGGUCGUUCAUUAUCUUUUAGAAAUACUACACAUAAAAUUAUUCCUAUAAAAGUAGCAACUAGUAUUUAUAAUAGUUUAAUAAUAUUUAAUGUCAUUAAAUUUUAUUUUAAUCUAAUUAUUUUAAGAUUAUCAUGAUUAGAUAGGUAUAAUUCUUAGAUAGAUUAAAUUUUUUGGGAUCUUGAUUUUUUCCAAAGUUUAGUUCAAGGUUCUACUAGGCAAGUAAAAAUCCAUAAGAUCAUUGCAUCCAAAUCAUUAUUUCUGAGUGCAAGAACUUUUAUACAUGCUGCAAAAAAAGGUUCAACUUUUGUUAUAUAUACCACACCUAUUUUUGACGGAAAAAAGAUUUUAAGUAGCAUUCCAAGCCAAUAUCAAGAUUAUUAAGAUAUCUUUUAAAAAAAAAAUGUAAAUAUUUUUUCAAAGCAUUAUUCUUAUGACUGUUCUAUUGAUCUUCAAGAAUGAGCUUAACCACCAUUUGAACCAAUCUAUAGCCUAUCAUAGAAUAAAUUAGUUUUGUUUAAGGAAUAUAUUCAUAAAAAUUUGGCUAAGAACUUCAUAUGCUAUUCUAAAUCUCCAAUUAAGUCUUCUAUCUUAUUUAUGAAGAAAAAAGAUAGAUCUCAAUAAAUGUGCAUGGACUAUCAAGGACUCAACAAGAUUACUAUAAAAAAAAUCCUCUAUUCUUGAUUUUAAGACUUCUUAAUUAACUAAAUUAAGCAAAGAUUUAUACAAAAUAGAUUUAUAUGGGGCAUAUAAUCUUGUAUGUAUUAAAAAAAGAGAUAAAUAGAAAAUUAUAUUUUGAAUAGAAUGUCAUAUCUUUUGGAUUCACAAAUGCACUAGUGUCAAGGACAAGAACUCAAUGAAAGCUAAAGAGUAAGUGAGACUUUUCUCAAAAAGAAAUAGGACAAAAUAGAAAUAUGUAUAUUAAGAAAGAAACUGGAAUGGCUAUUGCCAAAAUACAAGAAAACUAGAGACCCUUGAAACUAGACUAGAAGCAAGAAAGGAGUUGACAAGAGUGAAGAGGGCUUCACUCUUGCCUCUAUAUAUACUAUCUAACUAGAAGCCACGUGGCGAUGUUCUAUAAGACCUCCAAUAUAUGUUGACUUUCUAGGCCACAUGCCUUUGCUUGCAAGGCAAGUUUUCUAUGGAUGGACGACGUAGUUAGCUUGUUCUUUAAGCUUCCAACAUGUGUGGCACAUGGCUAACUUGUUGACCAAGUUUCUAACCUAAAAGUCAACUAUAGACUCCUAUAAAGUCAAAGCAGAGUCUAUGAAGCUUCUAAGAAGCUUCUCUAGAAGAUAUUAUACAAUUAACCUACUUUUAUCUACUUUUACAUACUUUUAUCUAUUCAUAUAGGUAAUUAUAUGUAUGUCCGUGACAUUACCCCCCCUUCUAGGGACGAGUUCCACGAGGAGCGGUGAUUAUAUAUUGAGAAAAUCUAAUAUGCGACGAAUUGUAUUUGCUACAUACUCUGAUCUUUGUUCUCUUCGAAGAUAGUUGAUGGGUCCUCUUAGCCAUCGAUAGUGUCCCAUUCCAGGGCGAGAAGACCACCCUGUUAUUUGAUCACUGUUGAGGCCUUCAUAACUUCCUUCAAAUAAUACAUUUGAAACACCAUCAGGAGUCGUUUCUAUCUCCAAUAAAAUCACCAAACAUCGAAAAUCUCUUCCAAGGUCGUGAUACCAAACGCGUUGUAUCUCACCAUCUAUUCGAGGAAGAACAUGUCGUUCUUGAGGGUCUUCAUCUCGGUUGCGUCGUCUUGAAGGUUGUGACAAUCGCAAUGUCUCAUCCGGUAAGUCAGCAAACGAAGGUUCUUGAGUUGAAUCCGCUUGUUGUUGGCUCUCCAUCUAAUUAGCGUCACAAAAUGCAAAGAAGUUACAAACAAGGAUAGGAAAUUGAAUGUUAUCUUGCCUCAAUCUUGUCUCUUUUAUAAGAGAGGUUUUCAUCUUGGUUUUGAUGGAUGUCGUUGAUGAAAAACUUUGACUUUAGUUGAUGCAUUUGCUAGAUUCCUGGAUGGCUCCCAUGUGCGCUCACUAAUAUCAUAUCCGCACCAAUGAACAAGAUAUUCCAGCUUAUUUCGGCGUCGCCUUGAGUCUAAUAUCUCUUCCACCUCAAAUUCUUCAUUAUUAUCUACUUCUAUAGGAGGCGGUGGCAUUUGUCUUCUUCCUUGUAUAUCCACUGUCUUAUAUGGUUCAAGAAGAGACACGUGGAAUACAGGAUGGAUCUUCAUUGACUCCGGUAGAUGUAACCGAUAUGCAACUGGGUUGAUCUGUUCAGAAACAAAAAAGGGGCCAAGCCUACGAUAGUCCAAUUUGUCACAAGGUCGAGUGGUCUUGAUAUUGCGACGAAGUAGCCAUACCUUAUCACCCACGUUGAGUUGUGGUUGCUCUUUACGAUAUACAUCUGCAUUUAUCUUUUGUCGUUCUUGAGCUUUCUUCAACUGCGCCUUCAUUAUUGCAUGUAACUCUGACAACCGAUUUGCCAUAUCUUCUGCUGCAGGAUUAUCAACUUUUGAAAAAUCAAAAGUAUCAAGUCGUGGAUGAUAGCCAUAAUUGGCAAAGAAAGGUGUUUGUUGCGUGGAGGAAUGUACCGUAUUAUUAUAAGCAAACUCUGCCAAUGGCAGAAGGUUUGUCCAAUCAUCUUGUUGGUAGUUGAUGGUACACCUUAAAUAUUGCUCCAAGACUUGGUUUACGCGCUCUGUUUGUCCAUCAGUUUGAGGAUGGAAAGCUGAAGAUAGCUUUAUGUCCACUUUUAAAAUCUUGAAAAGAGUCCUCCAGAAUCUCGACACAAAUUGAGUUCCCCUAUCCGAUAUGAUAUCUUUAGGUAAUCCAUGAUAGCGAUAGAUAUUAUCAAUGAAAAGCUUAGCUGUUUCUUCACCUGUGAUAGAUUUUGUACAUGGCAUAAAAUGUGCCAUCUUGGUGAAACGAUCUACUAUCACAAAUAUAGAAUCAUAAGAUCUUGAGUUUGGAAGAUCUGUGAUGAAAUCCAUAGAAACAGAAGACCAUGGUUGUUCUGGUAUAGGUAAUGGCUGAAGAAGUCCGUAAGGUCGAUGUCGAGGAAUUUUUGAUCUUGAACAAAUAUCACAUGAUUGUACAAAGUCUUUGACUGACUUCCACAUUUGUGGCCACCAAAAAUCUCUUGAUAUGAGUUCCAGAGUCUUAUUAUAUCCAAAGUGCCCUGCUGCUGGAAAGUCAUGACGUGCUUGAAGAACACGCAAACGUGCUUUUCCUUCUGGAACAUAUAGGCGUCCUUCAAAAUAUAAUAGAUUAUUCUUGAACUCGAACUUAGAAGAAUCAUGAGACUUGGAAGAAUUAUUCUCGAUAUCAUGAACAAGAGGGUCUGAGGACAUACUGGACUGGAUUUGCUUGAGAAAAGUUGAAUCAACAGUCAAUGUUGAUUUCACUGCUCGGAGAUGAAAUUGCUCUGGUUUCAAGAGGACCGUUCUUUGUUGCUCAAAAGCUGCAUCUCCUUCUUUUGGUGCAAAAUAAGAACGUCUAGACAGGGCAUCAGACAAACCUUGUUGUUUUCCUGGCCGAUAAGUGAUAAUGAAGUCGAAUCUUGACAAAGACAUACUCCAACGAGCUUGACGACGAUUCAACACGGGUGCUGACAUGAAAUACUCGAGGUUCUUGUGAUCUGUAUACACAGUGAUUGGACUAGAAGCACCUUCUAAAUAAUGACGCCAUUCUUGAAAGGAAUCCACGAUUGCAAGAAGUUCUUUAUCGUGGAUCUCAUAAUUGAUCUCGGCUGCUGAGAAUUUUCUUGAAUGAAAAGCUAUCGGAUGAAGUUUGUCAUCUGUUCCCAUUUGUGAUAAAACUGCACCCAAGGCAAAAUCCGAUGCGUCUGUUUCCAUAAAAAAUACCUUGGAAAAGUCAACACGAUAUAAGACUGGUGCAGAGACAAACGAUGUCUUCAAGGCUUCAAAUGCUGCUUCCGCUUCUUGAUUCCAUUGGAAUUUAUCUUUACUAGUCAAGCGUGUAAGUGGAGCUGCAACUCGUGAGAAGUCUUUGAUGAAGAUCCGAUAGUAAUUGGCAAAUCCCAAGAAACAUUGGACAUCUCUUACAGUCUUUGGAAUCUUCCAAUCCAUGAUUGUUUGGACUUUCUUAGAAUCCAUCAUAAGACCAUCAUUUGAAAUGAUGUAUCCUAAAAAGUCAACUUGAGUAGUGUGAAAUACACACUUUUCCAUCUUGGCGUACAAUCCUGCAUCUCUGAGUUUUUGUAAUACUUGACGAACAUGUAUUUCAUGUUCUUCAACAUUCUUAGAAUAAAUCAGGAUAUCGUCUAGGUAGCAGACGACAAAAUUGUCUAAGAAUUCACGAAAUACAUCAUUCAUGAGAUGUUGAAAAGCAGCUGGUGCAUUCGUGAGUCCAAAAGGCAUGACAUUAUAUUCAAAAUGCCAGUACCUGGUUCGAAACGCAGUCUUCCAUUCAUCUCCUUCUUUGAUCCGUACUAGAUUAUAUGCUCCUCUUAGAUCUAUUUUUGUAUAGAUCUUAGCUUGAUUUAACUGGUCAAGGAGUCCUGAUAUCAAAGGUAAUGGAUACCUGUUCUUGAUUGUGAUCUUGUUGAGUCCUCGAUAGUCAACACACAUUCGUAAAGAUCCAUCUUUUUUCUUUACGAAUAAAAUUGGAGCUCCUGCUGGAGAUUUUGAAUGGCGUAUGAAAUUCUUCGCUAAAUUCUCGUCAAUAUAUGUCUUGAGUUCAGCCAACUCAUCUUGCGAUAAACUGUAAAUUGGUCCAAAUGGUGGCUGAGUUCCUUCCUUGAGAUCGAUUGAACAAUCGUAUGGGCGAUGCUCAGGAAGAAUAUCUGCAUUCUUUUUCUCAAAAACGUCUUGAUAAUCCUGAUAUUGACUUGGAAUGCCACUUGAAGUCUUUACGUUUUCAGAAAUAGGUGCAGCAUAAAUAGCAAAAGUUGAUCCUUCUUUUGCUGCGUGUAUAAAUGCUUUUGCACCUAUAGGUGCGAGUUUUACUAUACUAGACUCAUGGUUUUUUACUUGGUUAAUAGAACUGUUACUAAUGCUCUGAGGAAAAUCAAGUUUACGCGAAAUCCAAUCUAUUCGAGGAUUAUACUUUUCUAACCAUGAUAAGCCUAAAAUUACUGGAUUAGAGGGAGAUCUAAUUAUAUUAAAAAUUACGCAACUACUAUGACCAUUUAUUACUACAUCUACAGGAAGUGUUUCGUGAGUUACAUCUCCAGAAGACAACGGACGACCAUCUAUGACUUCUACGUGUACAGGUUUAGUUUUUUGUAUUAAUGAUAUUCUAUGACAUCUAGCAAAUUCUUCAUCUAAAAAACAAGAUGAGGCUCUUGAAUCUACCAAGGCAGAGGCUUUGUAAUUAUUAGGUCCUAAACGCACAUCUAUUAUAAAACAAGGAGAUGGUUCUGAGGAGAGGAUAGGACCUUCAUUAGAAGUUGUACAAGAUUCCAGCCGCACGGUCCCUAUUGUAGCUGGACGUACUCGUUUUCCGACAUACUGUCUUCUUUGACAGCCGUACUCCUCAUUUUGUAGUUACGUCGCUUCUUUGGACAAUGUUGAGCAGUGUGCUUAGGUUCUCCACUAUAUAAGCACAAUCCUUCUUGUCGACGACGAGACUUUUCUUGCUCAGUAAGAGGUUUGAAACGUACCGCAUCAAUUUGCAUAUCCUCUACUUCUGAAGGUAUGUGUUGAGGAGACGUCGGUGUUGCCAUUGAAUUGUAGUAACGUUGAGGCCCACUUGUGCGACUCUCGGAUCAAAAUUCAAAAAGUCGAUUGUCGCACUUCACAGCAAAGUCAAUUGCUUGACUCAAUGUUUGAGGAUCAGGUAAAUUAAGCAUCAAUUUCUUUACCUCAUAUUGUAAUCCGUAGAGAAAUUGACUCACAAGUGCGGCAUCAUCCCACUUGAUAUCAGUUGCAAGUUGUCGAAAUUGCGAAGCAUAUAAUGUUACUGAUCGAUUGCCUUGUCGCAAAAUACGGAUCUUGUUGGUUGCAACACGAAUUGCAUCAUGUUCUCCAAACAUGGAUCGAAACUCCGCCAAAAAAGCCUCCAGAUUAUCCAAUAUUGGAUCUCGUCGUUCAAGAAAAGAUGAAAACCAUGACAAUGCUGAACCUGAAAGAAGUGUACCAAUGAAUCUAACUUGUGACCCUAGAGUUGGAUAGCUCUGGGGUUGAAGUUCAAUCACUAGUUGGACCUGAUUGAUGAAUCCUCGAAACUUGGAUCUGGUACCAUCAAACUUCUCGGGCAAGGCAACUCUCGGUUCUCUAACACUCGAACGGUGUUCCAUUCUGGGAGAAGGGACAUGGUUUGGUGCAGAUGUUGAAGCAGCCCCAAUCAUCUCUAUAUCUUCACUUCCUACCAUUCUUGUUGCUCCUUGUGGUGGAAAAUUGAGUUGAUGCAUCGCAAGCAUUAACUCCCUCAAUUGUUCUUGCAUCUGUGCCAUUGCACUCUUCAUUUCAACAAGCUCUGCCAUAGUAGCACUUAGAAAAGAGAAGAUGUCUAAUAACGCUCAAAACAAAUAGAAGAGAGGAAUUGAUAACAAAGAAAAUACUAAGAACAAUAUCAGUUUAAAAGAGGGUAAUCCGCAACUUCUAAUGCGCUUAUGUCUUAUCAAAAAAAAGGGGUAAUCCACUCUUAAUCAAGAAAAGACAAAGCUCUGAUAUUGUAAGUGCACUCUUGUCAAUUUGUCAAGGACAAGAACUCGAUGAAAGCUAAAGAGUAAGUGAGACUUUUCUCAAAAAGAAAUAGGACAAAAUAGAAAUAUGUAUAUUAAGAAAGAAACUGGAAUGGCUAUUGCCAAAAUACAAGAAAACUAGAGACCCUUGAAACUAGACUAGAAGCAAGAAAGGAGUUGACAAGAGUGAAGAGGGCUUCACUCUUGCCUCUAUAUAUACUAUCUAACUAGAAGCCACGUGGCGAUGUUCUAUAAGACCUCCAAUAUAUGUUGACUUUCUAGGCCACAUGCCUUUGCUUGCAAGGCAAGUUUUCUAUGGAUGGACCACGUAGUUAGCUUGUUCUUUAAGCUUCCAACAUGUGUGGCACAUGGCUAACUUGUUGACCAAGUUUCUAACCUAAAAGUCAACUAUAGACUCCUAUAAAGUCAAAGCAGCGUCUAUGAAGCUUCUAAGAAGCUUCUCUAGAAGAUAUUACACAAUUAACCUACUUUUAUCUACUUUUACAUACUUUUAUCUAUUCAUAUAGGUAAUUAUAUGUAUGUCCGUGACAACUAGCUACUUUUCAACAUCUAACAAAUGAUGUCAUUUAUGAAUUCUUUGAUGAUUUUAUCAUCUAAUAUUAUAAUAACAUCUUAAUCUAAUCUAAAAACACAAAAGAGUAUGAAGUUUAUAUUUGUUGUUUAUUACAAAAACUAAAAGAUACAAGAUUAUAUGCAAAGAUGAAAAAGUGUGUAUUUUACACUACUUAAGUUGAUUUUUUUGGAUAUAUCAUUUCAAAUGAUGGUCUUAUGAUAGAUUCUAAGAUGAUUCAAACUAUCAUAGAUUAGAAGAUCUCAAAAAUAAUCAAAAAUGUACAAUAUUUUUUGAAAUUUGAAAAUUAUUAUCAAAUCUUCAUCAUGAACUUUUUUCAAGUUGUUGCUCCUCUUAUAUGCCUAACAUAUAAAGACAAAAUUGAAUGGAGGAAAGAAGUUGAAGGAUCUUUUGAAGCCUUAAAGACAUCAUUUAUUUUAGUAUUAAUUUUAUAUUGUGUCAACUUUUUAAAAGCAAUCUUUAUAGAAAUAAAUACAUCAAACUUUGUCAUGGAUGUUGCUUUCUCAUAAAGAGGAGCAAAUCACAAGCUCCAUCUAGUAGUUUUUUAUUCUAAGAAAUUUUCAAUAGCCAAGAUUAAUUUUGAAAUCCAUGACAAAGAGUUUUAUUGCAAUUUUGGAUUUAUUUCAAAAAUGGCAUCAUUAUCUAAAAUUUUCUUCUAGUCCAAUUAUUGUAUAUGAAGAUCACAAGAAUCUUGAAUAUUUUAUGUCAACACAUGUUUUGAAUUAUCACAAAGAUUGUUGGAGCAUGUCUUUAUCAAAAUUUGAUUUUAAGAUUACUUAUCAAUCCAAAAAAAUAAAAAUGUUUGUCAAUGGCCCUUUAUAAACCUUCUUAUCUUACACUAAAAGAAGAAGAUACAACUUUUGAUCAACAAAGAAUAAUUCGCUUAAAACUAGAGCAUUUUCAUCUUUAAACAAUAUAAUCAAUAUUGACUAUUGAUUCAUCUUUUGUCAAACAAAUUCAAUUAAGUAUGUCUUUCAAUCCUCUUCUUCAUGAUAUCAAGAAUAAUUCUUUUAAUUCUCAAAAUACUUUCAAGUUUGAAUUUAAAAAUAAUCUAUUCUAUUUUAAAAAAUAAUUAUAUAUUCUAAAAAGCAAAGCACGAUUACAUAUAUUUUAAAUUUGUUAUAACUUUUUAAUAAUCAAAUAUUUUGGAUAUAAUAAAAUUUUAAAGCUAAUAUUAAGAGAUUUUUGGUGGCUUCAAAUGCAAAAGGAAAUUAAAGACUUUCUACAAUCAUGUUAUAUUUGUUCAGGAUAAAAAACUCCUUGUUAUUGACUUUAUGGACUUUUCUAGCCAUUACCUAUUCCACAACAAUCAAGGUCUUUUGUUUCAAUGAAUUUUAUUAAAAAUAUUUUAAUUUCAAGUUUGUAUGAUUUUAUAUUUAUUAAAGUAGAUCAUUUUACUAAAAUGUCACAUUUUAUACUAUGUAUAAAAUAUAUCACAUGUGAAAAAAAUAGCUAAGCUUUUUCUUAAUAAUAUCAAUUACUAUCAUGAAUUGUCUAAAGAUAUUGUAUUGAAUAAGACUCAAUUUGUAUCAAGAUUUAAGAAAAUUAUUUUAAAUAUUCUAAAGUUAGAUAUAAAGCUUUUUUUGACUUUUUAUUCUUAAAUUGAUAAAUAAAUAGAACAAGUGAAUGAAGUUCUAAAGUAAUAUUUGAAGUAUACCAUCAACUAUCAUCAAGAUGAUUGAACAACUCUUUUGCUAUUGGUGGAGUUUGUAUAUAAUAAUUCAAUAUAUUCUUCUAUUCAACAAAUACAUUCUUUUUUAAUUAUGGUUGUUAUCCAUGACUUGAUACUUUUGACUUUUCAAAAGUUAAUAAUCAUGCAACAAAAGAUUUAGUAAAUUAUUUGUCAAAGCUAUAUACAACAAUGAAGGCAAAAUUAACAAAAAGAUAAAAAUAAUAAAAGAUCAAUGUGGAUGCCUAUUGCAAGGAAAAACUACAAUUUAUUGUAGGUGAUAAGAUAUGACUACUUCAUUGCAUUAUCAAGACUAUUCAUCUUUGUAAUAAGUUGGACUAUUGUAGGCUUUGAUCUUUUUCUACUUAUAAAUAAGUCAAUCUUAUUCCUUAUCAAUUACAUCUACUGGAGUCUAUGAAGAUCUUAUCAUGGACAUAGGCAUGUAAGCCAAUAAUUACAUGUAUAAAUAGGUAUAAGUAAGUAAAAGUAGGUAAAAAUAAGUUAAUUCUAUAAUAUUUGGUAUAGAAGAUUCUUAGAAGCUUCAUACACAUUGCUUUGACUUUAUAGGUGUUUUUAAUUGACUUUUUGGGAUUAAAAACGUGGUCAAUAAGUUGGCCAUGUACCACACAUAUUGUUAGCUUGAAGACCAAGGUAACUAUGUGGCCCACACGUAGAAAAACUUGCCUUGUAAGUCAAGGCAUGUGUCCUACAAAGUCAACACAUAUUGAAGGUCCUGUAGAACAUUGCCACGUAGCCUUUAAUAAGAUAGUAUAUAUAAAGACAAGAGUGAAGCCUUCUUUACUCUUGUCAACUCUUUUCUUGCUUCUAGUCUAGUUUCAAGGGUCUCUAGUUUUCUUUUGGCAAUAGCUAUUCCAGUUUCUUUCUUAAUAUACAUAUUAAGUUAUUUCUAUUUUUUCAUCUUUCUUUGAGAGUAGUCUCACUUAUUUAUUUGACUUUAUCAUGUUUUUGUCCUUGACACAUCUAUUUCAUAUUCUAUAUAUAUAUUUUUUUAGCCAUAUAAAAUAAUGAACAUUUUAAAAUGAAGACAAAUGCUACCACGUCCUAUAAAAGUGGAUAUUAAUCAAGACUUCAAGGUGGAAGAAGAUUUAUAUUCAAGGUGAUGCCAAAAUAUAGUGUCUCAAAAUAUAUUAUUUUAAUGUUGACAUAUUUUAGAAAGAAUAGUAUAUUACAAAUGAAUUGUAGUGAAUAAUGACAUGUGGUUUGUAUAGCAAAUAAAGUAUUCUUUUAUAGCUAUCAAAUGAGCCCAAAUUAAAAAGAAUCCAUUAAAUAAUUAGAAAGCUAUGACCAAUCUAAUUUAGAAUACUAUUAAAAUAAUUUUUUGAAUGUAGGAUCUAAUUUUUGGAUUCUAUCAAUUACUCAAUAUUAUAAUAUUCUAUCAUUAUUAGAUUUACUAUAAAAAUAUUAUUAUUAAUCUAAUAACAUCAUUAAUGCUCACUAGCAGUUAUAAAAGUACCAUUCUUAAUCACAAUUUCUAGUAUGGACGUAUUUCAAAUUAUCACAUUUUAGUACCUUCUAAAAUCUUCUACAAUAUUUUAAAAAAUUCCAUAGGCUUUUGGAAGCCUCUUUAGACUUCUAAAAGCUUCUAUAGAUUUCUAAAAACUUCCAUAGAAAAUACCAUAGACUUUUAUAACCUUCAUUAUAGUAUAAAUAGAAGUUUUUUGAACCACUUUUGCUAUUAAUAUUAUUCUUUGUCUUUAAUCUUGAAAUAUUUCUUUAUCAAAUCCUUGAUAAUUCUUUAAAUAACUUUGAGAUAUAUUUUUUACUCUUUCCAAGACAACAUCACAUCUACACUUCUUUAUUCUCAAAAAUCUUAUGGCCAAAUUGCUUCUGAACUUAGCUGCUAUAAAGCUAUUAUCUCUAGGGUAGCAAAAAAGAUUACUUUUAAUUAGGCAGAUCAAAGAAAUUCACUGCAGUAGAUAAAAAGGCAAUUAUUUUCCAAAUCAACUCUUAAAAGGCUGAAAAUAUUAUUGAGGUUGCUAAAAAAUUUAACAAUAUUAUCAGUAAUCUCCUACCAAUUCAAACCAUUCAAAAUAUUCUUAAGAAAUGGAAUAUGAAAGUUGUUGUGAAAAAAAAAAAAAAAAUCCACUAUUAUUUACUUACUAUUGAAAAUAAUGCUUGGAUUUUGCUUUAAAAUACAAGGAAUGGACUAUGGAAAAUUGGAAGAAGAUUAUUUGAUUAGAUGAAAAAAAAUCAACAGAUUUUGAUCAGAUGGCAAAAAGUGGAUGUAGAAACAAAAGGGUCAAUUCUUACUUGACAAGAAGAUCCAAGAAACAAUUAAGCAUAGAAGUAGAAAUAUAAUAGAAUGAGAUUAUAUGAGAUGGAAUGGAAUUAAAAAGAUAGCAUAGGUUGAGUGAAAUAUGGAUGCCAAGCAAUUUGUAGAAAUUCUUGAAAAAGAAUCUGCUCCCUAAAAUUUAAGAAUCUCGCAUAUAUGAGGAAGAGGUAAAUUUUCAGCAAGAUAAUGACCUCAAGCAUAACUCAAAACUAACAAAAAAGUGGUUUGUUCAUCAUAUGAUUAAAUUAACAAAUUGACAUAUUCAAUCUCUUGAUCAUAAUUCCAUUGAACAUCUUUGGGAGCACCUCAAAUGCCUACUCAACAUUUGGAAGAUAAAAUCAAUGGAAGUUUGGAAAUUAUGAAAAAAAAAAUUGUAGAAUGAAAUAAUAUUGAAGCAAUUUUGUGCCAAAAGUUAAUAAAAAGUAUGUAUAGGAGGUUGGAAGUAGUUAUCAAGGCCAAAGUAGGUCUUACAAAGUAUUGAUAUAUAUUUGGAUACCACAUUCAAAAAAAUAUUUCAAUACUAUUCCAAAUUAGAUUGGUCAUAGUUUUACAAUUACCUAAUGGAUUUUUUUCAAUUUAUACUCAUUUGAUAGCUGUAAAAGAGUAUUUUAUUUCCUAUACAAAUCAUAUCUCAUUAUUUAUUACAACUCAUCUAUAAUACAUCAUUCUUUUUAAAAUAUGUCAACUUUGAAAUAAUUUUUUAAAUCAUUGUAGGUUAGAAUAUCUUGUUCAUUGGCAUGGAUAUGAUAUCAAUGAAUGCGCAUGGGAGCCAACAAGUUUUUUUGCAAAUGCAAAAAAAAAAAUUGAAGCUUUUUAUUAAUAAUAUCCAUUAAAAUCAAGAUUAAGAAUAAAAAAAAUUUAUUAUAAAAGAAACAAGAUUAAAAAAAUAUAGCAUUCUACUUUCUAUUCUUGUUUGUAAUUUUUGUACAUUUGUGAAAUUAAGAAAAUAGAGAAUCAAAAACCAAAAAAUUCAACUCAAGAGCUAUUAUUUAUUGACUUAUCAGAUGAGAUAUUGUAAUUGUUAUAACCUCCAAGAUGACAUAAUCAAGAUAACACAAUCAGAAUGAAGAUCUUUAAGAAUGAUACGUUUUUCUUUGAAUAGAUGGCAAGAUGUAACAUGUUUGGUAUUACAAUAUUAUAAGAGAUUCUUGAUGUUUGGUGGUUUUAUUAGAAAUAAGAAUGACUCUUAAUGGUAUUUUAAAUUUUUUAUUUGAAAAAAAUUACAAAGGCCUCAACAAUUUUCAAAUAAUAUGGUGGUCUUUUUUGCCUUGAUAUGAAAUACUAUCAAUGGUUGAAAAGACCUAUCAACCAUCUUCAAAGAGAACAAAGAUCACAGAAUGUGGUAAUCACAAUUUGUCACAUUUUGGAUUUCUUCAAUAUGUGAUAAUUGCUCCUUGUCGAUUUUAUUUCCAAAAAAAGAGAUAAUAUCAUAGACAUACAUAUUUAUUUAUAUGAUUAAAUAAAAGUUGAUAGAUAUAAAAUUAUUUCAUAAUAUGUUUUAAAAAAAAUUCCUAGAAGCUUUAUAAAUGUUGCUUUGAUUUUAUAUAUAUUUGUAAUUAAUUGGUAGGUUAGAAAAUUGUUCAAUAAAUUAACCAUAUCUUGAUAGCUUACAAAACAAGCUAAUUAUAUAGUGCACAUAUAAAAAACUUGCCUUGCAAGUUAAGAUAUGUGUCUUACAAAGUCAAUAUGUUUUGGAGGUCCUAUUAGGCAUUGCUACAUAACUCUUAUUUAAGAGCAUAUACAAAGGCAAGAGUGAAGUCUUCUUCAUUUUGAUUAAUGCCUUUCUUAUCUUUCAUCUUGUUUCAAAACUUUCUGAUUUUCUUGUCUUUGAUAAUAUUCAUUUUAGUUUAAUGUUAUAUCAUCUUUGAGUGAUUUUUUAAUUCUUUUGAGUGACAUAAGAGUGUAUUUAGGAUUUCUUUCUUUGAAUUUCAUGUCCUUGAUAAUUUGAAAUUGUUAUAGAUCUUCAAAAACUUGUCAAUAUUCUAAAAUUAGAAAUCUCAUAUAUUUUCAAUAUGAAUUAUGAAGUAUUAUUUUUACGCAUAUGGAACAAAUUAACAAUGAAGUUCAAAGUCUAUGCCAAGAAGAAAGAUCAAGCUUAUAACUAAAUCCAAUUUUUUUUUGCUACUACAAGUAUAAUAGAAGCAAUAAUAAAUAUGGUCAAGAAAUUUGAUGGAAAAAAAUCAAAGUUUUAAGGAAUUCUACAAAAAUAUAAAAUUCUAAGGUUGCAUCUUUUCUAAUAACUUGAUUGAUUUACUCAAAUUGGAUUCAUUAAAGUCUUUUUUUUUACAAAUGUUAUUGUAUUAUAUGAAGUCUAUUUAAUAAUUUACCAGAUACAUUGUUGUAGAAAAAAAAAAUAGAACUUACAACAAGAUGAUCCUAACAACUCUAAUAAAAUCCUUAAAAUAAUUUAAUUAAAUUAUAAAAAUAUUAACCAAUCUUUAAUUAAAUCCACAAAAAGUUUCAAGAACUUACAAAAGAAAUAUAAAAAAAUCAUAAAUUAAUCUUAAUAAAAUACAUACAAUAAAAAAAUCUUAAAAAAUAUCAAAAUAAUAAAUCUUAAUUGAAUUUUAAUUAAAUACUAAUGUAAUCUUCCAAAAUUUUAAUAAAAUUUUAGACUAAUUUCAACCAAAACUUUAAUGAAAUCCUAAAUUUUUAACAAAUCUUAAUCAAAUUUUAAACAAAUUUUAAUCAAAUCUUAAUCAAAUCUUAAUCAAAUCUUUAAAAAAUCCUAAUAAAAUCCUAAGUAAAUCUUAAAUUCUAAUCAUAGAUCAAAUUCUAAUAAAAUCAUAAUAAAUCCUAAAAAAAUCCUAAAUCUUAACUUCAGACCAAAUCCAUAUGAAAUCUUAAACUUUAAACAACUUAAGAAAAUUUCAAAUAAAUUUCAUUCGAUUAUUAUAGCUAAUUGAAACCUCAAUAAAUAUUAAUUGAACCAUAUAUCUUGACUAAAAUUUUACUUAUACUUCAACCAAUAAACAAUUAAGAAACAUAUAAAAUUUAAAAAGAAUCAAACUUAUCAAUUAUAAGAAAAGCUUCCAAAACUUCUUAGUUAUUGAUGGCCUUUCUUCUCCCACUUGAAUGCUGAUCUUUUAACAUUGAUUUUUCCUUAUUGAAUCAAUUUAUUUUUCCAAAUAUUGGAUUUUAUGUAUAUAUUCAAGUCUUAAGUGCUUUCACCAAAUUUUGCUUCAAUUUAAUCAGCUAAUAUUGAUAGAUAUUGAAAUCAUUUGCUAAUCCUAAAUCUCAUUUUUUAAAAACUAUAAUCCAUAAAAAUUAUUAUAUUCUUCAAUCUAAUAUCUUCAUUGACUUCAAACAUUUCACAUACAUUUACAACAAGUACAACAAAAAAAAUUCCAAUUUUUAUUAAUACACAUACUAUAAAACUCACAAAAUCUUAAAAUUUGUAAAUUUAUUUUACUUUUUAAAAUAUAAAUCUAUCAAGUACAUCAUUAACUUUGAAAAGCCCUCAAAAUAUCAAUAUUAAUUUUAAUAACAUGAAACCAACACUCAAACCUCUUCUCUCAAGUGUGCUUUCAAAGCUUAUUCUUUAAUUUGCAAAAAAAUGUGAAGUCAUUGUAGGUGCUCGAUUUUUUGCCUUGGAGUCUAAUUUUGACCUUGGUUAUCAAUUGAUCCUCUACAAGUAUCAAUUCUUAUCUUCUUAAGGUAAUUUUUUCUAAUAUCAACUUCUAAUUUUUUUUUAUAUAUGUCUAUAUUCUUGAUUUCUCUUAUCUAUCUUAUUUUGCCUUAUUUAUGGUUCUAUAAAAUAAAUAGAAAUCAUUUUUAUAAAAAAUAAUUCUAAUACUAAUAGAUUUUAUUACUUGCCUAUCAUUUAUCUAUAUUUUUACUAUAUAUUUUUAUUUAGGUUCUUCUAUAAUAAAAUAUUUUCCUUCUUCUUUCACUUUAUGGCCCUAUUAUUAUACAAUAGUGCUCUUUCUUCAUUUGUACCUUUGAUAGAAAAAGAUUCAUGGCUAUUUAUGAUCUGAAUUUAUUUUUAUAAGUAUUUAUGGCUAUAUUUAUAAAAAAAAUUUGAAAAAAGGUAGCAAAGUACAAGCUUGUAUCUCUACAAUAAAGAUCAUAUUUAGCCACUACAUAUAUUGUUGAAUUUCAAAAUCUUACUUAUGACGUGGAUUGGAAUGAUAAAGCCAUUAUUAAUCAAUUUUGAUAUAAAUUGAAAGAUGAUAUUAAAUAUUUAUUUUUGAUAAUACCAAUAAUAGAUUUAUUAGAGUAAAUUAUUACUCAAGUCAUUGUAUAUGAUAAUUAGUUUUUUAAAAGAUACUAAAAAUAAAUAUUUGAUUAAAGAUGUACAAAUUAAGCCAUAGAAAUGUUUUUAAAAUUUUUGAAAGCUUAUUUAUUAAGGCUAGAGUCUAUGCAAAUUGACAAGGUAAAUUUUAAACCUCUUACUGAGCAAGAAAAGAUUUGUCAUUGUUAAGAGAGUUUAUACUUAUAUUGUGUAGAAGCUAGGCACACUACUUAAUAUUUUCUAAAGAAGCAACGCAAUCACAAAAUAAAGAGCAUGGUUGCCAAAGAAAACAAUAUGUUGUAAAAUAAAUUUUUCUAGCUACAAUGAUGACCAUGCAACUGGAAUCAUGUACAACACUUAGUACAAGUCUUAUUCUUUCAUUAGAUCUCUCAUCUUUUUUUACAAUAGAUAUAUAUUUAGGACCAAAAAAUCACAAAUUCUUAGCUUUGUUAGAUUAAAGAGCCUUAUUAUGUUUUAUAGACAAAUAUUUUGUCAAAAAAUAAGAAAUAUUUUUAGUUAAAAAAAACCAAACUUGUAUAUGUAAAAGUAAUAGAUAAUUUCUUUUGUAGCUAUAAAAAAAGACUCAAUUUUUGUUAUAUAUGCCACACCUAUUAUUGUUGAAAAAAAGAUUUUAAAUAAUAUUUCAAGCCAAUAUCAAGAUUAUUAAGACAUUUUGAAAAGAAAAAUAUAGAUACUCUUUUUAAACAUUAUCCUUAUGAUUAUUUUAUUUAACUUCAAGAAAAAGCUCAACCACAAUUUAUACCAAUCUAUAACCUAUCAUAGAAUAAGUUGGAUGCACUCAAGGAGUAUAUUGAUGAGAAUUUGGCUAAGAAUUUCAUAUGCUAUUGUAUUCUAUGAAGUCUUGCUCAAGAAUGCAUCAGUCACCUAGCUAUAGAAGAUAAAAUCAAAAUUACUACAACAAAAUCUUAACUCUAAUAGAAUACUAAAUAAACUCUAAUUAAAUCUUACUAAUGUUAAACAAGAUUUGAUCAAAUUUAAAAGAAAAUUUAAAGUAAUUACAAUAGAAAUAAUAAGAAAUCUUAAUGGGAUUAAAAGAAAAUCCUCCAUAAACCUUAAAUUUUUUUUAAAGAAAUCCUAAAAAUAUUAGAAUAAUUACAAAUAUAUCUUAAAUAAAUCUCAAAAAAGUUCCAAUUUAAUCCUUGUUGAAAUCUUAAUGAACUUCAAUCAAAAUCUAAACAAAUCCUAAAUUCUAAACGAAAUUCUAGACAAAUCCUAAACACUAAAACAAAUUCUAAAAAAAUCCUAAAUCCUAAAUCAAAUCCUAGAAAAAUUCUAAACCAUAAACCAAACCUUAGAAAAAUCUUAAAUCCUAAAUCAAAUCCUAAACUAAAUCCUAAUUCUAAAGCAAAUCGUAACCAAACCUUAAUCAACUCAAUCUAAUUCUAUUACUGUUUAAAACCUUAAUAACUAUCAAUUGAGUUAUUGAUAUUGCUUAAAAAUUUACAUACUUCUCAAAAAUUAAAUUAGUAAUAAGUAUAUGAAAUUUGAAGAUAAUCACAUAUACCAAAGGGAAGAAAAAUCUUAAAAUUUUCUCGAGUAUUGGUUGGCCUCCUACUCCAAUCUAAAUGUUGAAAUUCCAGUGCCAAUAUCUCUCUUUUAAACCAAUUAAUUGUUCUCAAAUUUCACAUAUGUAUAACAAAUCAAGUCUAUUACUUUUAUAAAUAAAUUUUACUCCGAUUCAAGUAGUAGAUUGCUAAAGAUCUUAGAAACUCUAACUGCCUUUUAAAGUCCAAUUUUUGAGAUCUCAACCUACUUGAAAUUCAAUAACCUUCAAUUCAAUAAUUUUAUCAAGCUCAAACUUACAGCAUAUACUCUAGACAAUUAUUUUUAUAAGUCUUCAAAUUUUGAAUCAUAGAUCUAUUACCAAAUUCAUGAAAUUCUCUAAAUUAUUAUAUCCUUUUUUAUUUCAUAGAUUCUAUAGUCACCUAAAAGAAGUGUGACUUUACAAAGCUCUUACAAAAUCAUUACAUACUCAAAUCACUUAAAAUCAUGCCUAAAGAAACUUUUUUAAGUCUAUUCCUUAAUCCUACUUAUUGAUCUGCAAAAAAAUCCCCAAAUUACUAUAGGUACCUAAUUUUAUGCCUCAAGGUCUGAUUUCAAUCCAUAUUGAUAACUGGUCCUCUCCAAGUAUCAAAUUUUGCCCUUUUGAGUUAAUUAUUGCUAAAAUCAAUUCUUUACUUCCUUAUACUUAUGCUCAUAUUCUUUAUUUUUCUAAUCUACUUUGUUUUUUUUUUAUUUAUUUAUUUAUGAACUUACUAAGUAAAUAGAAGCUUACUUUGUAAAAAAGUAGCAUUUACAUCUUUAAUUUUACCUUCUUUUUGGACUAUUGUCUAUUUUUUAAGAUAAAUUGUUAUAAUAUUUGAAGUAAGAUCUUCUAUAAUAUAAUAAUUUUUUCACCCUUUUUACCUAUUAGUCAUAUUAUAUCAUGACAUUCACCCCCUAAACUUGUGCAUCUUCCAACAUGUGCCAAUGAUUCUUUAAUAUAUUAUUAAAGUAUUCUUUAUCAUGGUUAGAUUCUUGAUCUUCAAUUUUCUCUUCUUCUUCUAUCUUAUUGUCUUGUAAUGGAUUUUAUUCUUCGUCAAAAUUAAUAUUUUUAUCUCUUUGUUUAAAUAACUUGAUUAUCUUCUUUACUAUAGGUAUCUUUAUUUUUGUACCAUUAAGUUCUUAUAAAAAGUAUGUUCUAUUGUUGUAUACUUAUUUGACAACAUAAGGCCUAAACUAUCUUCUUGUAAAUUUUUUUAUCGUGCUAUAUUGGUUGUCCAAACUACUAUCAUAAACCAACAUCAAAUCAUCAUUUUGAAUUAGUUUUGGAUAUAAUUGAUGUUUUUUGUCAAAUCUUUCUUUGUUUUUCUCCUUUUCCUCUUUGAACUUCUUUAUAGCUUUCUCAAUGUCCUCAAAUUUUCUUUUAAGUUGUCAAGUUUGUAAUGCUAAUAAUUCUUUUUUUCUUAAACCAUCUUCUUGAGGUAAUAUAUUCUAUAUUGGCAUCAUUGAUUUUUGUCCAUACAUCAAUUCUGCUACCAUGUAUCAUAUAAUUGUACUAUGAGUUAUGUGAUUCGUCUAUAAUGCAAAUGAUAAUAACUUAGGCCAAUCACCUAUCUUGCCUUUGCAUACUUUAAUCAAUGCUUUAACAAUUGGAAAGUGUCCACAUUCACUGUUGUUAUUUUUUUUUAGAUUAUAUGUGGUUGUUACUACGACUUUAAUACCCAUCUUCUCAAAGAAUUCUCCUACUUUAUUUGCAUCUAAUUUCCUUCUAUCUAUAGUAAUUUUUCUAAUAUAAUCAUAUUGACAAAUAAUUUCCUCUAAUAUAAACCGAUAUACCUCUUCCAAAGGCUUUGUUCAAAAUGCUCUUCCCUCCACUUGAUUUAUCAAAUUCUCUUCAGUAAGUAUCAAAUAUUUCUUUUGUCCAAAUUCCAUUGGUAUUACAACUAAAUCAACUAUCAAUUUCUAGUGAAUUGCUAAUGGAUAUGUUGGAUGCAAUCCAUCUCAAUGACAAAUGUUUGAAUAUAUUUGACAAAUCUCACUAGAUCCUAUAAAAUCUGCCAUAUUUUUAUAUAUGCCCUUUCACCAAUAUUUUUCUUUUACCUUUGCAAAUAUUGCCCAAAUGCCUCAAUAUCCGGCCUAUCAACUUUCAUGAAAUUCUUUAAUGAUAUUUAGUUGAGUAUGAUAGCUACAUAUAAUCCAUUGUGGCACUCCGCUCCUUUGCUUUGGAUGCUUCUAUAAAAAUCCAUCUUUAAAAAAAUAUCUAUAAGCUUUCCUCCAAAUUCUUUUAAACUUAUAAUUUGCCAAAUCUUCUUGCUGCUUUAAUGUACUUAAGUACUUUUUAAUAUGCAACCAUUCACCAUCAUAUAACUCUUUUGAAAAUAAUUCAAGUAGUUUAAUUAAAUACAACUCAUUCCUUCUUGCACACAAAGUUGAAUAAAAGUCCGUGCCAAUAUUUUCUUCAUCAUAUCAUGCUCAUGACAACAUGUCUGCAAGCACAUUAUCUUUUUUAAAAAUAUGUUUGAAUUCUGGAUUCAUAGACUUUAUUUAUAUAAUCCAUCUUAACAUUGAUAUAUCUGAUGUAGAAUAAUUACUAAUCAUGCCUAAUAAGCAUAAACAAUCUAUUUCUAUAGCUAACAAUGUAUCAAUCAAGUAUUCUUUUUUAUUUUUCAUAGCCAUUACUAUACAUUAUAAUUUUUUUUUAACUUGUGCAUAUACCUUCUGCUUAGCAUUCAAAAUCUUUGCUUUAAAUCUUACUACAUAUUUAUUUCUUUGUUCAUCAUCUUGUCUAACUAUUCAACCUAUUUCAAUUAGACUCAUAUCAACUGUUAAUAUCACUGACCUUCGACAUUCAUAAUUUACUUUCUUCAAAGUUAGAGGUGAAGAAAGAAGUUCUUUCAAUUUUUUCAUAGUUUUUUUUUGUUUCCCUUUCUAAUGAAAUUUUUGAUUCUUUUGUAACAACUCAUCUAAUGGAUCUGCUACAUAUGCAAAAUGAGAUAUUCAUAUAUAAUAAAAAAUACAUGCUCCUAAAAACCUUCAAAUUUCCGUUGUGUUUAUGCAUUCUUUCAACUUUUUAAUAAUAUUAAUAUUUUUCAUACUUGGCUUGCGUCCAUAUCAUCCACACAUGUAUCCUACCACCAAAACUUUUUUUUAUCCCAAAUAUUGAUUUUGUCCCUGAUAAGAUUAAAUAAUUUUUUUCUAAUCUUGUCAAAAUCUUCUCAUAAUCAUCAAUAUGAUUUGCCACAAACUUCCUACAUCCUAUUGAAUCCAAUAUCUCAUCUUUUUUUUCUUCUUAACAUCCUUUAAUAGUACAUCAUCUAAAAAAUAAAUUAUUAUUUUUAAAAUAAAUUCUCUUAAUAUCUUAUAUAUUCUAUUCAUUAUGUGUGCCAUAGAAUUUGUAACCCCUUGAGGUAAUAUACACAUUCUGACUAAUCCUAAUGGUGUCUUUACAAUUGUUAAAUUCCUACUUUGCAUUGCUAAUUGAAAUUACUCAUAAUCUAAAUAAAGAUUACUUAUUAAAUAGAUAGCUCUUCUAGCAAAUGCUUCUACAAAUUCAUCCAUAAUUGGACUUGAAUCCAUAUUUCUAAUAGUCACUUUAUUCAUAAGUUGGAUGUCUUAUAUAAAUCUCAUUGUUUUAUUUUUCUUUGGCACUAUAAAUCAUCAAUUAAAAUAGGAUACCAUUGAUAGUUCUAAAAUCCUCAUUUUAAUUUUUUUAUUGAGUAAAUCUAUUAGCUUAGAUAAAUGUGCUCUUGGUACUAAAAUUAGUCACAAAUUUCAUAGUUCAUGAGGAAUAGUAAAAAAAACCAUAGGUGUUGCAAUACUUAGAUCGACAUAUCUAAUUUCAUGUGCCUCCAAUGCAGAAGCCUUUCUAUGUCGUCUAAGGAUAUCUUUAAAAUAUAUUUUUUCAAAUUUUGUCAAAAAUCCAUCAUAUCCAACAUUUAAUCCAUGUAAUGUAGUAUCCGUAAAUUCAUGCCCUAUCUUCCUACGAUCCUUUAAAUUUAGUUGUGUAGAUGCUCCAUUUAUCCUUUCUUCAUAAUCUGGUAGUAGUGGCAAAGUCAUUGGUUUGACAUUUUUUGCGAUUGAUUAUACUUAAUUUCAACAUAUUGUUGUGACGUAAUAUGACUAUAUAGAGAAAUUAUAAUCAAAAUUAAAUUUUUAAUUAAUAUGUAAUUAUCUUAGUUCAAUUAUAAUUUUAGGUGUAUAAACAUGGCUUUCAUAAAAGCCUCUUAGGUUAUUUUCUUAUCUUAAUAGUUAAUAAGUUGAAAGUUGGUUAGUAAUUUUACCUUCUAGAUUGUAGAGACACUUCUACUACCUUAAAAAGCCCAUAAAUUGAUAAAAUCAGGUUAAAAGAGGUAAAUAAUUAAUAUAGUUGGUACUAGGAUUAAGUUGAAAGUAGGGUUGGACUAAAAAAUCUUUAGGAUAGGUUAAAUUGAUACCCGGGGGUCGGCCAUUUGUGAGACAAGGUUGAAAUCAGACCUCUCACCACAAAAAUGACGGCCUAGGGCAAAAUAAGGAUUCACUCAAAGAUCGAAGGAUAGUAUUUGAGAGCUAGCUUGAAGUUCUUUCUAGAGACAUAAGGAUUUUUUUUGGAAGGUUUUUGAAAAUUGAGAAAUUGUUCAAAGUCAGGGUUUGUAUUGGUGAUUUGGGUUUUAUAGAAUAUAACUAGGGAUAGCAAUUUUGGCUAGUUCAUGUAAUUAGUCUCACAUCUAUGGUUGAAAAUUUGGUACUAUUUGGAUUAUUAGGUGUGCUAAGUGUAUACAAAAUUUUGUGAUAAUCUAAUGGCGUGCUUUAGAGAUAUCUAGUUUUUAGUGUAAGAGGGUUUUGGAAGUUGGCAGUUUAAGGUUGGGUAGGAUUUUUGUGAUAUAUGGAGAUCAAUGAAAUGGAUUAAGGUGAAAUUUUGCAUGGUAUUGAAGGACUUGAAGAUCAAAUUGCACACCAAUUUUGAGUCAAAGUUAAUGGUUGGAAAGGGAGAAAUCACUACUGGGAUUUCUACUUCACUUUUUAAGUUGGUGGCCAAGUGACAUCAGUGCAAAUUUCGGAGGUUUUCUCACAAUUUAUAAGUUGGAUUGGGCUAAAAAUUCUUGAGCAUAUAGAAGACUUACAUUGACUAUUGCAUGCAAAAUUCCACAUCAAGUGGACGGUCGGAUUGGAUGUUAUAGCUUAUGAAAGCUCACUAAUUAUAGUUGGGGCUUAUAAGAAAAAUCUAAAUUACUUAAAUAUGAAAGUAACAAGAUAAUUGGGAUUUAUGUAUGAUUAAGGCUAAUAAGAAGAGUAUUUUUAGCACUUUUGAAUUGAAAUUCAAAUUAUAUUCUUCUUGUAUGGAUGAAACCUAUUAGGAUUCUUGAAUUCUUGUGAAACACAACCUCACCUUCCACAGUUAGGUGCCUGAUGCAUUCCCAAGGAAGACAACACAUAAUAUGAUAAUAUACCUCUUGGCAAUUUAAAUUUUCUAUAAAUCUAUAGAUUUCAUCAUAAAAUUCUUUAGAACAUACAUUAAUACAUUUAUUCUCUCCUUGCAAUCUAUCUUGCGACAAAUAAUUUAAUUUUCCCAAGAUAUCUGCAAAUGCCACUUCUUCAAAUGUUCCUAAAAUAAAUUCAUUUUCAAUCAAUUCUCCAUUUUUUUUUUCCAAUUUUUGCUCAAUAUUUUUAACAUAUUGUUUAUCCAUCUUCUUCAUCUUAUCAAUAUUCUUAAAAGAUAAUACACAAUUUGGUGUCAACUCAAUCAGCCUAGUAAAUAAUAUUUUCUUUUUAUACUUAGAGGGAGCAUCUUUUUUCUUAACCCAUUGCAAUCUUGUUUUAUAAUGGUGUGGUGAAAAUCCCUCACAUGUUCACCUCUAAAUUCUCUAGUAACCUUUGGCAAAGGUUGCUCUCUCAAACUCCCACAAUUUUUGUCAUGAUUAGCACAUACUGUCCAAAAUUGCAUCAUUUUUGUUCUAUCUUGAUUCCAAGCAUAUGUCAAUCUAUUGUCCUUAAUCUUUGUUUCCAUGCAAGUAGCCGUAAUAUAAGGUUUUUUUAGAAUGAUAGGAUAAGUAGACAUAUCUUGCACAAAGAAGUUUUUCUCAUCACUAAUAUCUCCUAUUAUAACCUAUUAUAUUGAGAAAAGACAUCCUUCUAGAGUGGAUCUCACUGAAAACUUAAGACAUAUGUGCCCUAAGGUCAUGGUCGAAUGUCUCAGCUGUGGGGCAAAGAUCCCAAUGAAGUCCAGCCUGAGCGAUGCCUUGAGGGUAGUAUAUUCAUCCCUGUAUCUCCAUCAGUAUUUCCUGCUUUCCAGGCUUGUAAUUCGUGUCCUGCCUUAUCCCCAGUCCAGAUAGGUGCAUAAACUUUCUUCUGGGUGAUAAGUAUAUUGACUGAUGCCGAACAUUUGCACUGUUUAGCCAGGCUGGUCCUCGCAUCUGCAUUGGCAUCAAAUCGGCGGCCUUGCAUAUGAAGAUGGCCACGGCAGAUUUUUAUGUCGGUUGUCAAGUUCAGAAUUGAUGCGUGGUCACCCUGUGGAUUGCCAACCGACCGCCAACUUUUCCAUACAAAAAAGAACUGCACUGGGUAGAGAGAAGGCAAUGUUUAAAUAAAUGUGUCCCUCGUUUGUUUCUACCCCGCCUUCAUCACAAUAACAAACUUCGUGUGUAUCAGAAUUAGUUCGGAGUUAUGAAAUUUGUAUCUUCAAGCACAAAAAUAGUUCGUGAAAAUCUAACAAAUUUUUAUUUUAUUUAUUUAAUUAUUAAUAACUUGAAUGUGAAUACUAGAUAAUGCUCUCCAGCUUGUAAAUGUCCAUUGUUUAUAUUUUCAAUAUUUAUGUAUACGUGCCAUUCAUUAUACGUAUAUUGAAAAUAUUUAUGUAUACGUGCCAUAUACAAAAGCAUUAUUAAUUGUUGAUUCAGGGUAAUUUAAAAUUAGCAUAUGCUUGGAAGACAACAUAUACUAAAUAAUCCGUACACGGGUUUAGGAACUUACCUCUCAACUGCAAUACAUCGGAGCAAAAGAUGGAUAGCAGAAUAAAAAAGGUGGUUUACGGUGUGUGCUAUACCAAAGCUAUCAGAACUAGGGAAUUAAUUAUAGGGGACUCCCAUUGAAUUUACUGUGAAGGGAAACACUUGAACCUAUGACAAACAUAGAUGAGGAUGCAAUACAAGCUAAUCUUAUCAAAGUCCUCUAAUACUUAAUUACAGCUGGAUCAUAUUUGCUAAAAAUGAAAUAAUGAAUUUAUAGAACCAGAAUGUCCGGGAAAAAAUACGAUUCUAACAUUAUCUGACAUUGCCAACGAAGAAGCUUAAUCAUUCUAAGCAUUCUAGGUAAUGCUGAUCUUGACCAAUGUCAAUGCUUCGACCUACACAAAUAGUCUACAAUAAAUACCUGCUUUCAAUUACCAACUAAAAAAAAAAAAAUCCAGUGGGAGACACAACAGCAAAUGAAUUCAGAAGCCCUCAAUAUCCGUUCUGAGACAACAACACAGAUAUGUAUAUGUACACGAUUAUUCGUCUGAUAACCAACAUCCGUUCUAUCGAGAUUGUGAAGAAUCAACGAGGUGCUUAAGAGUGCAAGGCAUCUUGUUCCACAUAUUCGGUUAGCACAAAUUUUUAGAAGUCAGCCUCAUGAAAGAUAAAUCAAAAGAAACAGCAGGAACCACUUACGUUAAUUGUCAAGAACUCACACUUCCCAACAUCUUCCACAUCCCACCACCAGCAUUCGCAGGUUGAUGGAAGACGUUACGAGCCCACCUCAUGUAAUGUGGGCCACAAAGCCGACAACCCUCAUCUGACAAAGCAAUGCCCCAAGACAAUCUGUACAAAAGGGAUCAAUGCCAUCAUGUAACCGUGCCAUAAAAAAGAUCUUCCAACUUGACUCAUUCAAACCCUGCGAUUCCAUAUAUCCUUGUAAUCAACCAGGUGUCAGACAACGACAUCACAGCCAGCACGCGCAAUAAAAAGUAGGCCACAACUAUAUUCCAAGCAUAAUCGAGUAGCUGACAAAUGCAAACCAACGAACUUACCCCAAACGGCUUACUACGGCAGUACCCUGAAACCGUCAAAUUUUCCAAGGAAACUAUAACAAAGAAAUGUGUGUAUUUAUAUGAAUGCUCCACAGGCUUGAAAUUUUCAAACUACAUUGUACAUAGGACCAACCAGCAAAACUAAGGAUCAAUGUGUCUUCCUAAACCAACUAGAAGUACAUCGAGGAUUCCUUCCAACAAGAAGACCUACUGCAACUGAUCAAGCUCAACAAUGUCUGCACCACAUAUCACUUCCACCUCCUCCGUCUCCUACUCUCCAUUACCCAUCCCCCCUUCCACCCUCCAUUCCAAUCAUCACCAUCCACAUCCACAACUCUCUGCACGCCAAAAUGUAAUUCUCCAAUAAAUAUAACCAUAGCACCACCUCGUCCCUAAAUCUGUUCAGAAUCUAGUGAUUACCGUAUCUCUCUCCAUGGUGCACAUCUUAACCAUGUAGUCUCCACUACUUUACUACACAACAGAGUUCUGAAAAAAUCAAGUGGUAUCGGACAUUCCAAUUCCUACGCAACCAAAAUAAACACAGAAGACCGCCUCCUACCCACUGCUUCCUCUAACUCUCGGCCCUCCCCCUCCUCCCCUACCCCUUCUCCUACACCACACCUACUGGCAGGUCACUCCAUUCCCAUCCGACCACUCGAUCGGCUCCUCGCCGCCUGUGGCUCCACAUUUCUGGACCAUGGUCAUGCAGCCAAAAUCCUGCCGCCUUUACUUUAACACUAGGUCGACACGCCUGCGCCCAUCCCAACACAAUCCCAUCGUCAGCCCCGCAACACAAAUCCCGCCACAAAUCACCCUCCCACCACCACUUCCUUCACGCAUCGCACGCACCUACUACCCGCCCCACAUCUCUACCCAUCAUGCGCUACCUCGACACCGCUCUUACCACUACUCUCCACCAUCUAAGCACCCCNNNNNNNNNNNNNNNNNNNNNNNNNNNNNNNNNNNNNNNNNNNNNNNNNNNNNNNNNNNNNNNNNNNNNNNNNNNNNNNNNNNNNNNNNNNNNNNNNNNNGUUCACCGCUCCCUCCGCGCUCGCACCUCCGCCCACGCCGAACCCCGCUCCGCUCCCGCCCCCCACCGACCCUGUCGUCCCCGAAUUAUACGCCUCCGACCCCGACGACCUCCAUGUGUUGUCCGCGUACCCUGAAUAUGCAUCCCCGUACCCUCCCCCACCGUAGCUCCCGCUCCCCGUCCCCGCGCCCGAGCUCCCGUACCCUCCUCCUCCCCCGCUCGAUCCGUACCCGCUACCCCUACCGCCAUACCCACCCGCCGAUCCGUACCCUGUCUCGCUGCUCCCGUAACCAUACCCCGCAGCACUCCCGUACCCCGAGCUCGCUGCUGCCCCCGCUCCCGUCCCCGUCGUCCCCCACGCCGCAUUCCCGUAUCCGCUCAUGCUCCCGCUCCCGCUCCCCCCGUACCCAGUCGAGCUCGCGCCCGUCCCGUAUCCCCCACCCCCGCUCCCCCACGCGCUCCUCCCUCCCGCAGGGGCGCUCCCGUACCCUGCGCUCCCCGUGCCCCCGCUGCCAUACCCCGCCCCGCUUCCGUACCCUCCCGCUCCGGGAGCGCUCCCGUAACCUGCACUCCCAUACCCUCCCGCUCCGCUCCCGUACCCCCCGCCGCUCCCGUACGCGCUGCCUCCAUACCCCCCGUUCAUCCCCGCGCCAUACCCCGCGCUGCUCCCGAAUCCCGCUGCGCCGUACCCCGCGGCCCCGUAUCCCGGAUACCCGCCUCGCCCCACCGGCGUCGGCCCGUACCGGCUGUCCCCGCGCCCCCCGUAUCCGCUCCCUCCUCCCGGACUCCCACCCCCGUAUCCUCCCUGGCUGUACCCCGAUCCGUAGUUGCCCCCGCCGCGACCGCCUCCGCCGAACCCCCCGCCAGCCCGCCCCGACCCCGCCGACAGCUCCUUCGGAAUCGCCUUCUUCACCUCCACCAUCUUGUCGUUCAGCUCGUGGAACGACUUCUGGAUCACGUUCUCAACUGCAUCCUCAGAAUCAAAAGUGAUGAAGCCAAACCCCCGAGGCCUUUGCGUAUUGUGGUCAUACAUAACAACCACGUCUGUAAUAGUACCAAACUGCUCGAAAUACUUUUUGAAGUCAUCCUCUGUAACUGUCGAGGCUAAGCCCCCCACAAAUAUCUUCUUUGUCCUAGUGUGGGAUGUUGCAGGCCCUUGGCCACCCACGCUGUUGCUCCUAGGUAUACUCUGCUGUUCGUCUCUCGGCACAGCUUUUUUCGCUUCCACCUAGAAUGGGAAAAAAAAAUAUUUAACAAAGACACGCUACACAAAGUUAUACAACUGCCACACAACCUCAUGCCACCAACCACCAUCACCACACGCACUCCCGCAUGCCACCCCCCUCCCAUGCAUUCAACUCCACCUCGAUCCCCCUUCGCCCGACACCUACCGCCCCCCUCCCUCCCUCCCACCCUCGCGCCCUACCGCACUGACCUCACCACGCCACCGGCCCUCCCCUCCCCUCCCCUCCCCGAGUCCAAGACAGAGCGCUUACCGUUCUUCCGUCGAUGGUGUGCUUCUCGCCGGCCACCCGAUCGGCCACGCUCGGGUCCGCGAAUAUCACGAACCCGAACCCCCGCGCGCGCCCCGUCGCGCGGUCCUUCAUGAUCACCGUCUCCGCCACCUCGCCAUAGCUCUUGAAGUAAUCGCGCAGCUUCUCCUCCGUCGUCUCCCAAGAGAUGCCGCCGAUGAACAGCUUGCCCUGAUCGGAGUCCAUGGCCGCCGACCCGUCCUGGUCCGCCAGACUUCCCGCCCUCCUAACUCCCGCUGAAAUGGUUAGAAAAAUCGGACUCCACCAAACCCAAAUGCCCCUUACAUACACAAAGAUCUAAAAUGAUGUAAAGGAGAGGGAGAGGUAGAGAACUGCUUGGACGAUCCGCAUUCAACGCGCGAACCAACAGGCCGCGGUGGGGCAGGGGGGAAGGAGAGGGAAGCGUGAGCCUAGGGUUAGCAGUGACACCCGAAGCGUGGUACAAAAAUAAGAGAGAAUGGGGAGCGGACUACAAUAGGAGAGAUGGAGGGUGGAGAAGGACGUGUGACGAGGCAGUCUCAGGAAUGAGAGAGAGAAAAAGACGAGGCGGAGAGUAGACGGGCGCGGGAACUGGCAAGAACGGGACGUUCCCUGGGUGCCUGCUUUCGUCCAUUCACGGGAGCCCGUCGAAGCCGGGGCUACGUCACUGGCUUCCACGCCCGCCCGCGCGCUUGUCAUGCCUCUUGAGGAAAUGGGUCUUGCCGCGUGUUCAUUCGCUUUGUGACACCCAUUCUAACUGCCCCGCACGGACUCUAAUUGCUUUCUAGUGUUAUGGUUGGUGCCCGAGGUUGCGGAGGCGAUCCCCAAUCCUUCCCCCCCACGACUCACCUUUUCAAACUAAGUCUUCCUCCUCCAUGACACCAUUAUAGCCCACAUCCUGCGAAUAACAGCUCCAACUAGUGUUUCCGUUAUCCUCCCCAACUCACUGAGCCUGUCCGCCCCUCUUUCUCUCUGGAUGUUCGUUCAUCCACCUCGAUGUCAUCACCUAUCAUUGGUUUGUGUUGUUGAAUCGCAAUGGCAAUUCGUACCCCCCUCAUCGUGUUCUUUGUUUCUUCUCUUCGGUUUGUCUGUGCGUGCUGUCAUCCAUUGAACAUCCACCCUUCAUCUGGAGUAAACAUGGAUGAGAAAAAGUGGAUGAAUGUUUAGAACCGAGUGGUUCGUCACACAUGAGAGGGCACUAGCUUCGAUGAUGGCGUCUGGAUUCUAAAUUUGGACGAAACCAGUGAUGCUCGAAGAGCGGGUAUAUCGCCCGAGUCAGAGCCCCAGUUCCAUUCUACUCUAGACUUUGUUGUGAGGUGAAUUUGGGAGAGUGCAACCUGCGUUUGAGUAAGUACAAUUAAGCAGUGGAAAAGGUGCGGAGGAUCUGGAUUUUGUUUCCGGUGGCCAGAUUGUAUUGCGUUGGUUGGUUUGGAAGGCGUAGUUUGUCCUUUGCUCCGAAAACUUUUUUGAAUGGAGCUGGCGGAUGUUUUAGCGAAAGACAUGUCCUCGUCAUCCAGGAUAAGUCUAAUACUCGGAUUGAAGAAGGGAAAUCCGAGGAAAUUUAGGACACUGAGACGCCGGUUGUUCCUACGGAAUAAGUUCCGAAUAAUGAUUAUAUUUCAUCGGGACUUCUGUUGAGGCUGUAAGUUUGCGAGUUGCCAAAUUUAGAUGUUCUCCAGGUGUUCUAUCAAUUCUUCUCAGGCUUCCAAUCUGGACAAGUUUUAUACGGAAGAUUUGAAGUAAUGCAGCAGGCUUCUACAGUUUAACGUAUACGAGAAUUUGUUUAUCUCAUUUCUUGCACGGAGGUGCCCGUACAGAAGUUUGUUUCGGAGUUUGUUUACCUGUUUUGUUGGAUUUCUUCUGAGUUUAUCUUAGAAUUACAAGGUUUGUAUGUUUAUCGCGGAUGGCAUUUGUUGUCAACCUUUUUGUUGUGGAAGUGUCUGGAUUCGUGAUAGUGUGACCUGUUCGAAAAAGUACCUACGAAAAAUUAUCCUUAUCUAUGAUCGUCUGAUUCGAUGUUCUCGUUGAGCAUUGAACAGAGCCUCUGUCCUGCUACGGUUUGUCUUUACCAUCCAGGCAUCGACCUGAUUUCCUGUUUUUCCUUAUCAGGUAAUCUCUUAAGGAUCACUUGCGAGUAGUUUCAGUCCAUAGCGUGAAGCACGAUAAAUUUGCACUAAGAUUAGUGCCUGGUUGCUUUCUCAUCAAUAUUUUUGCUUCUGGACUCCUGUCAGUCAAGCUUUUGAUAGUUGAGAGAGCAGUGUUGCCGAUAGAGAAUGCUGUCGAUGGAAGCACUCAUCGCAAUUAUGAUCUACUUCAAAGUCAUCGUCCCUACAUAGUUGGUAAACUUCAACUUGCAGUUCAUCAUUGUCGUACAUGACUUCCAGGCGUUAAGGAAGCGGGAUUACUACGAGUUUUUAGUCACACCCUGAUACAUAAUGCUUCACACACUAGUGGUUGCUUUGUUCGAGGUGUAUUUUCAUUAUCAGAAUAGUGUAGGGUAAGAGUGGCUGUGGUGUAAAAUUUUCCAAGUUACUGGUUUAGAAGUUGCUGCUUGAAAAACACCAUGUCUCUUUUAGUACUACUUCCAGUUGCCAGUAGCAUGAGGAAGUGUGUAUUGCUACUAGUUACUGAACUUCUAAUCGAGAGUUUUUUUUCCAUUGUGAUGUAGAGAGUCGUUAUAUAUCUAAGUCAUUAUUCUUUAUAAACAAAUUACUGUUAUUAUUAUCAACUCAUUGCCCUUUAGUUUCGUUUAUGUCUGAUGUAGAAUGUAAAGUCUUUCAUAUUUGCAUAAUGGUUGGAACAUUUAUUAUCUGGUUUUAACUUUGUUUACAAAUCACAGUCUCUAACUCAAUGUGAGCAAACAUCGACGAAGUUCGUCAUGACUCGAAACUUUAGGUCAUACAGCUGUAGCUGCACAGGUAAUCAAACUAUUGAUUUUUGAAGUUUGUAAUUCAGAUGGCUGUUAUAACUAUAAAAUCUCUCUAAGCGUCAUUUCUACCUUUUGAGAUUUCAUGUUAGGAUUUUGGAAGGGGAUAUUUCUAUUUUUCUUUAAACUAUGUUAUUUCUGAAGCUUAGUUGCGGAGACAGUUUUGUGCGUUCACUUGCAUUGAUUUAGUGAUUAUUUUCAGGGUGAAGUUUUGUGCCUUUCUUGAUUGUGCAUCUAGUUGUGUUUUCUGAUGUUAAUCGAAUGUGCAGUGCUUUUAAUCUUGCGCAGGACUUCUAAUGGAGAAUCAGAUUCAAGGUAAUGUGAUACUGAUUUUCGCAGUUAAUCAUUCAUAAAAUUCGGAAUAAAGGAGUUGCUGGAAAUGCACGGGCCACAGAAAUAUACAGGCAGGACAUCCUUAAAGAUGGCAAACGGGUAUUAUUCUGUCCCUUUGAAACGUAUAAUUUAUUUUGGACAGAGCCUGAGGAUAGACAAAUACAAGUGUCAAUUUCUGCUGUUGGAAGGUCUUGUUUUUUGUUGUUUAGUGAGAAGUGCUUUUCCAGUACGUUUCUGGGUUGAUCUUGGGCACCAACAUGGAUUCAGGAUACACGAUCAUUGCCUGAAGUGGGUAAUUUGUGAUAAUAGAAAGUGCAGGAUGAUCUAGACAAUAUCACUCGCUUUUUAAUGCUUGCUAAACAACCUAUUGUUCCAGGAACUGGUCUACCAUUAAAGGUGGGAUGGGUUUUCAUUCUUUAUAGAUACACUAACGUGAAUUUUUACUAUUGAACAAGAACCUGACACGUCAAGAAUCUUAUUGGUGUAUACCUGCAGCUGUCUAUGGCCAAGUGAUCCAUGGUUGUUGUUAGCAGAUAUGCAAUUUCUUUCUUGGGAUGACAUUGCAUGCAAACAGUCUUUUGCCUGUGCAAGUCUCAGUGUUUUCUCAACUUUUUAAGUUUGAGGUCUCCACUUUCGUGCAUAUUCAUUGCUCGAAAUUGUCUAGGUGAUUUGUCUUGACGCAGACCAGUAUUGUGCCCACAUUCUAAGAAGGACCAGGUGUUCCGUUCAAGGCACUCACUGUCUUAGCACUGCGAAGCAUCAAUCUUACGAAGGUAUUCAAUUUCUGUAGUUCUACAUGGAUUAAAUGGUAAUGUACGUGGAUUGUGGUGCACAAGUAUUUGAAACUCUUAUAUUGACUUGGCAGAUUGAAAGUCGUCCUCAACGAAAGAUGCCUUUGCACGUGGUGGAUGAUAGUAACAAUUGACGUGCUUUCACAACCUCUUAAUUAAUACAUUUCAUGUUCUUUUCAAUCCCAACAAGGGGUCCCUCAUUUUACAAGUUUAUUUUUGUUCAACCUGUUUCAGCCACAGCUUUAGGUGAACACCCCCACAAGUAUAUACCAGUAGGAUUUUUUUUUUUUUUUUUUUUUUUUUUUUGUUUUCAAAUCGGAUAUUGAUAUGCUUGGCAUAGAUGUGCUAGCAUUUUGGUCAUUUGAAGCUUCAAUGCGAGCCUCAGACAGCUGCUCUCUCUCUACACUUGAGCAUAAUGUUGGGCUGAGUUGUAACUAAAAUUAGGGAUAUUGUUGUACUUUCUUCAUUUUUGCAGCAGUUUUGUGGUUGAGAGGCUUCAAAACUCUAUGUUCACAUAAUUGAAUAUCUGAUCAUAUUUGAAGGUAUGUACAACUUUGGGUUCAUUAAUAAAUUAUAAUUUAUGAAAUGUUACUUUCACUUGAGUGUGAGUGUUUGUAACAAAAUUGAAUAAUCUUUUUGUGUGUUCUUCUCAGAUUUGAACAUUUCUUGACAAAGUGACAAUAGGUUAACAAGGAUCAAGUUGCACAUUGACAUGGCUUUUAAGAUUUCUUAUUAUUUCUCCUGUAAUUAUUUUAAGGUUUCUUUUAAAUUUGAUUAAAGCUAGUGUUGCAUUGUUAAGAUUUAAUUAGAGUUUAUUUAAUAUUCUAUUAGACUUAAGAUUUUGUAAUAGCAAUUUCGAUUUUACCUUCCAUAAUACAACAUAUUUGGUGAAUUCGACAUAAAAAACCUGAGAUGAAAGAUAUUUGGUUUUCUUGGAUUAUUUAAAUUAUACAAAAGAAAGGCAAGAGAGUUGAAAGAGGAGCUAUAAGUGGCAGAACUAGUAAAGAACAAAAUAUGUAUUUCAAUCUCAAUUUUGCAAACAUAUUUAAAGCUUUUGCCUUAUUUAUGCAAUAACAACAGAUUAAAGAUCGCAAAGAAAGUAUGGCAAAAAAAACAUUACAAGAAGUUGUAAAUAAGAUUGAUUAAUUUGAAGAAAAUGAUAUUAUAAAAUAUUUAAGGUGUUAUGUCAAAAAAAUAAAAUUAAAGUAUAUUUAAGAAAGGAAGAUGGUUCAAUUAUUUGAAUUAGCCUUUGUACCAAAGAUAAGAAAUCAAGUAAAGUUUCUUAUAGCACAUUUUGGAGGUUUAUAAGAGAAAUUUUCCCAAGCAUUGAAGGAUGAAUUUUUUUUGGAAGAUAGUAACAAGGUUACAAAAAAAGUCAUUUUUUGAAUGAAUUAAAAGGAAAAAAAAAAAAAUGAUCUUCUAGCAACAGAAUCAUUAAAAAAGUUUGAAAAGCAAUAUUUUUAUUUAUCAAAGAAAGAUGGGUAGUUAUUAGAUCCAAGUAAAAUCAAGCUUUUUCUUUAAGUAGGUAAUGAAGAAUUGCAAGAAAAGUUGGAAAUUUUGCUUGAAGAUAAAGAAGAAGAUGAAGGAUUAACAACAAAUUGGGAAGAAGUAGAAGAGGUAGUAGAAUUGCUUGCAAAAAGAGAAAAGAGAAUAAAAAAAGGACAAGGUGGGUAUUCAAAGACCAUUGCAAAUAUCCCAAGUAAGAAUACCUACUACCAAUCUUAUAUCUAUGAUUCAACCUUCAAUGGCUACAUCAAAGAAAGAUGAAAUGGACAUCAAUGAAAUUAUAUAAGAGAUGAGAGAUUUGCAAAUAAAAUUUGCAAAAUUUGAAGAGAAGGUUCAAUCAUCAAGAGUAUUAAUAAAACAAAGGUUAGGAUCGAUAGAAGGUGUAGUACAUAGGUGCAUGUGAUAUGAUAGCAUAUAUCAUUCGAGAAGGAAAUGUGAAGAUUUUAUAGAGGUGUUACAUAAAGAGAUUGUUUUUUUCAAAGUUGAUAUAAUACACCUAAAAAAAAGUGAAGAAAAAUUGGAGACAAACUUUGGCAAUGGAGGUAUGAAAGUAUUGAUGGUUCAUGCAAAGGAAACAAAGACAUAUAGAAUUGGACUUACUCAAGAUUGUGCCAGCAUAAGCAUUAAAGCAUUGGAUCAUAUAAAUUCAUUGUGGCCAAGUACAAUGAAGUGUGCGGCAAAUGACAAGGUUGCUAGAAAUAUAUUAAUUAAUGCGGGUAAGUCUAUUCAAGAAACCAUGGGUUGGAAUGAUCUGAUUGAUAGUCUAUGUGUACAUGCAUAUGUUGCAAAGAAUCAACAUAAAAGAUUAAUAGAAGAAAAAUAAAAGAGAGAUGAAAAUAAUGAAGGGCCAUGAGAUAAAAGAACUAUGAGGGGAGAAAAAGCACGACAACAUAAAAAUCCUAUGCAUGAAGCGACAAAAGAGAAUAUUUUUCCAAAAGAAAGAGAAAUUGUAAAAGAAAAAGCAAAGGCUCCUAUUUAUAAAUUACAAUCACAUAUUGAAGCAACAACGGAUUUGAGGAAGAUUUUAGAAGAAUGCAUUUUAAAUGGCAAGGUGGAAUUUACACAUCACCGAAGAGAUGAUAUUGGAACGAGGAAUCCUUGACCUAGUUGCAUGGAAUGGGCAGCCACCAGUAACAGUGAAAUUGAGCAUAUCAUAUUACGUCACUGCUUCAUUCGCAUCAUCGACAUUUGCAGCAAAUAACAACGUUGUUCCAGGUCAAUAAUGGCUAACAGUAAACACAGAGAAUGCGAGGCAUAAAUUCAAAGCUCGCCAGGUUCCUUUGCCGGCGCCACUCUUCCCCAACGUCGUUUAAAAUUCCUCGAUCCUGGAUGAUUUCUAUAUAAUAGUGGCAGGGCUCUCCCUGGUUAUCAUUCACAUCAUUUUUCUGAUCAUGUGCUGUACUACUUCACUCCCGUACUCGACAACCAAAUCCAAUAAUAACAUUAAGGCUGGUUGAUGAAUCUCAACAAUUAUGAGAUGCCCUCAACCCUGCAGUUGCAAGGAAGUCUACCGAACUUCCGAAGAUGCCGAAAAUUAGCUAUACUAAGGACUUGUGCAAUCCAGAGAAGUCAAUCAAAUUCGGUCCAUAUGGACUACCGCUUCAGAAAUCAUCAGAGCAUUGAGCGAGGUCAUGGAGAGAUAUACCCGAGAACACCGUGCAACAGUAGUGAACCCUAAUGCAAGAUACGAGUAGAAGAUGUUGUACUGUACCCUCGACCAGUGCGACUCUAGAACGAAUGUCUGGAGGACGAUGGAGACUUGGAAUAUUGGAGCUGGGAGGAGCGCAAUCAUUGGGAUUCUACUGUAAAUGUUUCUAAAUUGUAACAUAAAUUGAUAAAAACAAUCUUUGAAGAGAACAUUUAGAGAUCAUUCUUCAGUCUGUUUCCUUGUGAUAUUGCAUUCCCUAGAGCUCAUUCUCCAACCCAUUCUCCUAAUUUGUGUUUUGUAUGGCAGAAGCAGUGGUUGGAGAAGAAGCAUGUGGGAGCUGGAAUCUAGCUCAGUAUUUGGGUUGGUGACGCCGACGAGCUGGACAUAGCCCAUGGUGACAGUGCGGGAGCCGAAAUACAUGAGCUCAUCGUGUUCUAUCCCACAGCCGCGUUUGCUGAGACCACAGCCGUCACUGCAAUGAGACAAGUGGCAAAGUGUUGGAGCAGGAGGAUGACAUCCAGUAUGCACACACGUUGCCGCUGUCCAUCACGCCUAGAUCGCUCCACAAUCAUCGAACCCGUUUCUUCUACAAUUAUGCGGCGUUGUCUGAGGUGCCUUCAGAUGCGACUCCCCAGACCAUCAGUGAAGUGCGGAGAGUUUCCACCGCUAACGGUCGUAGAGUUUGAGGUGCCGACUUGUCACACUGACUCCACAGAACUGGCUCUGGAAGAUUGUAUGACUUGCGUUACCUCGGUGGAAGGACCAGAUACUAACUGAAAGAAGGAGUUAGUUGACCAACGCAGAUCCAGACCGGACUGUCUGUGUUCGAGCACAAGAGGGAGAAAUCCACGCCUCGAUAUGGGUCAGGUUUCGCAGCCGGAGAGGAGAUUUGGGAGGGGCUCAACAAGGAUGAAUCAACAUUCAUAGAUCCAAACAAUGUUCCGAAAUCGAGUGGAAAUGAAUUCUACAGCGAAUAGUUUGUGUGUUUUUUUUUCUACGCAAGGAAUUGCGUUAGUAAUCGGACGGAUUCUUAUGGGCCGCGUAGCACCUGAACCUCUGUGUGGAUGCCAUAGCCAGCAUGAACAUCGGCCGCUUUCAACGUCUCCUGUGGGUUUACGAUCAAAUAUCAAAAUGUCACCGUAAUGAAUGUGAAUAUGUCGAUAUUAAAACGUUAUCAACGCUUACUCUCAUUGUUAGAUGUCAAAAUGUAGUAAGUUCCUUCUAUAAAAUAUUAAGAAUGACUUACAAGGUUGAUAUCAUUCAUGUUUUUAAAUUUGAUGGCACAUACUUUAACAUUUGGCAACUUUAACAUUUGGCAACUUUAACAUUUGGCAACUUAAAUCCUUACAUAUAGCACCUAAUACAUCACAAAUUAUUGCUAGUAUGUCAACUUUGCAUGCUACAAGAGUUAAAAACAAUACCCAUUGAGAAGAUAGAGAUAUAUUAUUUCUAACAAUAAUUAAUAAUUUUCUCAAAAAUAACAUUAUAUUACAUAUACAAUUAUAUAAGACAUCAAAUAAAUUAUGGAAGGAAUUAAAAAGUAUGUUUGAAUCAUAAGAUGCAAUAACCAAGAUGUAUCUUAAAGACAAACUACACACUCUUAAAAUGAAAGAAAAUGAGAGUAUCACUAAAUAUAUUCAUGUGUUUAGAUCUUACCUUAAGCAAUUGCUAAUAGCUAGAUGUCCAAUUCAAGAUGAUGAAACAAUUUUAACUCUUUUGAGAAGUUUUCUCCUAUCUUAUAGAUCUAUAAUUAACUCUUUAAGAAUACAAAUAGAUAUUUUAUACAAUCAUUAAUAAGAAAAUUAAUAAAAUAAAAAAUCUUAAUAAAGGAUAUGAAUUUAGCUAUAAAAAAUAUAUUAGUUUUUUAGGUUUAAAAGAAGCAAUCUUAUAAUAAUAAAAAAUCACACUAUAUUAAAAAAAUAUAAGAAUUUUUAAAAAAAGUUUAAAAAAUCUUCUUGAUCUUUUGAGAAAAAGAACUAUUCUAUUGACAAGAAAUGCUUUUAUUGUAAAAAAUAUAUAUAUCUUAUUUAUAAUUGCAAAGAAGAAUAGCUACUCAAGAGAUAAAAUAAUUAAAUAUGGUUACAAAAUCAAAUAGACUUUAUGGAAUUAUAGUCACAAUCUACUUCUAUGUAAUAUGUAAAUUCUAGAGCAACACAACAUAUGUAUCAUAAAUCAAAUAUUUUCACUAAUUAUCUAAAGUAUGUAAAUUAAAAACUUAUGCAUUUAUAAGAUGAUUGUACAUCUUAUAAAAUAAAAGAACAUGGUGACGUUACAAUAAGACUUUUAACUGGUAUAGAGAAAAUCAUAUCUAAUGUCAUACAUGUAAUUAAACUUGUAAAGAAUUUGUAAAUAAUUAGAGAAAAUUAGAGGUGAAAUUUAUAUUAAAUUUUGAAUUUAAACAUUAUUAAAUAAACAAGACCAUACAAUUGCAAGGUGCAAGUUAAAUCCCAACUUAUAAAAUUGGACAUUAUUAUAAUCUCAAAUCAAAAAGCAUUGGCAAUACCAACUACUAUACAAAAUUUGAGUAAGGCUGAUUUAUGACAUCUAAGACUAAGCCAUAUAAAUCAACAAUUAAUGUCAAAAGGCAUUGAUCCUUUUGAUAUAUAUAAAAUGACUUUUUGUCAAUUAUGUAUUGAAGGUAAACAAUACAAAGAAAAGUUUCCUAUAAGUGGCAUACAAAAAGCUACAAAGCUUUUUAAACUUUUUCAUUUUGACAUUUGCGGCCUUGUGUAAAUUGAUACAUAUUUUGGAUGUAAAUAUUUUGAUACUUUCAUAGAUGAUUUAUCUAGAUAUUAUUAUGUCUACUUAAUAAAAAAAAUCUAAAAUAUUUGAUAAAUUCAUAUUCUAUAAGAAUUUUAUAGAAAAAAAUUAAUCACAAAAUUAUAAUCUUAUAAUUUGAGUGUAAAAAGAACAUAGAUAUAUAUAUAUAUAUAUAUAUAUAUAUAUAUAUAUAUAUAUAUAUAUAUAUAUAUAUUUAAUUCAUUUAGUGAUUUUUGUAAAAAUAAAGGCAUCAAAAGAACUUUAAUAGAAGCCAUUUUAGUUAUGUUAUUAUAUGUUAAAUUACCUAAAUAUUUAAAAAAAGUAUUUCAGAUUAUAAAUUAUCUCUAAAAUAAAAGUUUUACUAAAAUUAUUAUAAAAAAUAAAAUUUAUUUUGAAAUAUGGUUUAGAAGAUGACUUAAUCAAUCUUAUUUAAAAGUUUUUAGGAGUAAGUUCAUAUCCUUGUUUAAAAAAAAACUAAAAGAAAGUUUGACUCUUAUUCUAUAAAAGCUAUUUUUUUAAGAUGUAAUAAAGAAUCAAAUGCUUAUUGCCUUGUAAGCAAACAUAAUAAUAUCAUUGUAGUAUUCUAAAAUGUUAUUUUUAAUAAAUGUUUUUAUGUUAAAUCAAGAGAUUUAGAAUCUAUCAACUCUUUUAUAUCUAUCACAAGUCUAGUUAUCAAGCUAAUAUGGCUAAGACAACACAUCUUCAUCUAAAACUUUCUAAAACUAUGAUUGAAGCUUUAGCCAAACCUAAUGAAUAUCAUUGGCAAGUAUCCAUUAUUGUUGAAUUUAAAUCAUUAAAAAAGAAAAAAUCAAACUUGAAAGUUAAUACUACUUCUAUUAAUUAAAAAUUGAUUAGCUUUAAAUAUGUCUUUAAGAUUAAAACCUAUGCUGAUGGUACUAUUAAUUAAUAUAAAGCUAUGCUAAUAGCAUGUGGCUUUAUUCAAGUACAAGAUAUUAACCAUUUUAAAAUAUUUUCCCUUAUUCUAAACUUAAUUCCAUAAAAGUCCUAUUACUCAUAGCUACUUGAUAUAAUUUAGAAAUAUAUCAAUUAGAUGUCAAAACAAUCUUUUUUAAUGAAUAUAUUGAUAAGGACAUAUAUAUAUUUAUCUCUAAAGGAUUAUCAACAUCUUUUAAUUCCAACAUAGUGUGCAAAUUCAUUAAGUUCUUAUAUAGACUUAAAUAAUCUUUAUAAGUCUAAUAUGUAUAUUUUGAUAAUUACUUUAUUCAACAAGAACUUAUUAGAUUAGAUGUUAAUACAAAUAUCCACAUUAAAAGAGAUAAUAAUAAUAAUAGAUUUAGUAUUUUGACAAUCUAUUCUAAUAACUAUAUAUUUAUUAGUAAUAACAUUUCAUUUAUUUACAAAAUAAAACAGAUUCUUUACUAGACAUUUGACAUAACAAACAAAGUUAAAAUAUAUAAUAUACUUAGAAAUUCUAUUACUAAAAAUUGGCUAGAAGGUUGGACUAUCUUAUAUUAAUAAUAAUAUUUAUUUGAUAAAUAUAAAGAAUAUUAUCUAUUAAAUUAUAAUCCUUUAAGUACACCUAUAUAAUAUGAAAUAUAAUUAAAUAAAGAUGAUUCUUCUUCUACCCAAGAGGAAAAGAUACUUAUUAGUUUAUAUUCUUUUUCUUAAUUGGUUUGGCAAGUUUAUACAUAUGCAAGUUAAUUCUAGACCAGAUUGUACUUACACUAUUAAUAAUAUAGCAUAAUAUCUAUUUAAUCUUGAUUAAUUCUAUAUUCAAAAUUUAAAAAGAACUAUGCAAUAGAUCAAAGAUAUAUUAAGUUUUAAUAUUAGAUGUAAAUAAUUACAUAUUGGGCAUAUUUUUUAUGGUUAAUCAAAUGUUGAUUGGACCAAUAGUAAAAAUGUUUAAUGUUCAACUUUGGAGUAUUGUUUUCUUUUGGUUGACAUGGUUAUUACUUGGGAUAGUAAAAAAACAACAAAGUAUUUUUUUAUCUUCUAUAAAAUUAUAAAACAUGGCUUUAGCUAAAAUUAAUGCUAAAUUUUUAUAUUAAUACAAAUUAUUAACCAAAUUAAGGUUUUUAUAAUUUUAUUUUAUUAUUUUAUAUUGCAAUAAUUAAAGUGUAAACUCCAAGUAUCAUUCUUAUAAUAAGUAUGUAAACAUAUAACACAAUUUAUCAAAGAAAUAUUUUUUCUCAUGAGAUUCUAUUAAGUUGUAUUUUUAUAUUUAAUAUGAUUACUGAUAUUUUCACUAAGUCUUUAUAUCAAGACAAAUAUAAGCAUUGUCUAAUCAACUUGAGAAUGUGUUUGAUUCCAACCAAGGCUAAUUCAAGAAGUGAAGCCUUUGCCACUUAUAUAUAAUACUUUGGUUUUAAUCCACAUUCUUCUUACUCAUGUAAAAACUAUUUACUAUUGUGUAUCUAUAAUUAUUACCUCAAGCAUUUACUACAUUAGUUAUUUAUGCAUGUCCACAUAUUCUUUUAAUUUAUGAAUCUAUUAUUUAUGUCUCUUAUAACAAUAAUACAUAAGUUAGGAUAAUUUGAUUGAUCUUAGAGUGGAAGAUUGUGAGUCAUAAAAAUGACUUUUUUUUAGUUUUAGAAGAAAAAAAUACACUUAGAAUAUCAAAAAUCACAAUUAUUAAGUAAAGUGAAUGUAAAAAACUCUAGAUGAGUGAAUAAAUAGUAUUAAUUUUGGAAAUGUGAUUCUUUAUCAAAAUUCUUAAUUAUAUUGUUAAAAUCUCAAAUUUGAUGAAGCUAGAUGAAGAUGAAAAUUAAUUUAAUUUAUAAAAAUUUGAUAAUGGGUGAAUAUUAUAUUAGAUGAUUAAUUAAGAUUAAAUAAAGCUAAAUUAUAAUUUAAAUAAAUUUAAAAUAGAUGAACCAAGUUAGAUAAAUAUUGAUUUAUAGAUGAAUUUUUAUUCAAAGAUAUUUUUUAUUUAUAGAUUUUUUAAAUUUAUAGAUGAAUUUUUAUUUAUAAAUAAAAUAUUAUAAAAUAAUAAAUUUUUUGUGAUAAAAUAUGAAGAGGUAUAUUCUUAGAAUAAAAGUAAAAAUAUGUAAAGAUAAGAAAAUUAAAAUUGCUUGCCAAAAUGAACUUUUGGUUUGAAUUCUUAUAUUACCAAUCCAAUGUCUAAUCACAUGGACUUUUUGAUAUAAACAUACAAAUAACUAGCCUAAUCAAAAAUAUUCAAUUAAUAUAUGGAUACUUAUCUUAUUAAGCUACAUGAUGGCUUAGUAGGCUAUGGAAACUAAAUGAUAUUAUGACCAAUAAAUAGUAGCUGUAACUUGUCAACUAACAAAGUGGUGUCAACCAUCCAUUCUAUAUUAUAUCUAAUAAAAGUUAUAUGAUCUAUUAAUACUUCUAUUUAAUGACAUAUUAAACUAACUCAAUUUGAUGAUGUCCAUUAUUUCCUUGAAUUUAUAAUGUUUGUCACAAAUUAGUCCUUUAGUCAAAACAUCUGCAACCAUGUCUUAAGUCCUAUAAAAAACUAAGUUGAUGUUGCUACUUCCAAUCUUCUUACAAACAAACUAAUGUUGAAUUUCAACAUAUUUAGUAUGAGCAUAGAAUAUAGGGUUCUAAUAGCAAAUUAUUCUUACAUUACAAUCUUUCAUGCCAAAUCUUUUAAAGAUAUUUUCUACAAUUUUUUUUGAUUUAAGUAGAUUUUACAAAUCUUUCAGUUUUUCAUAAUGUGUAUAUCCAAAAUAUGUUGGAUUUCUUGUAAAUCCUUCAUUUCAAACCUCUCAGAUAAAUUUUUCUUUGUUUUUAAGGAAAAUUCUUUACUAUUAAACACAAGCAUUAAGUUAUUCAUAUAGACUGCAAUGAUGAUGAAGAAUCCAUCAAUUGUCUACAAUACAUAAAUACUAGGAUUGAUAUAGCUUCUUUUUAAACUUUAUGAGGCAAAAUAAUCAUCUAUCAUCUUGUAUCAUGUUCUAAGAGAUUUUUUGAGUCUAUAUAAAGCUUUAAUUAGUUUACACAUCAAUCAUUCUUCACCUUCUAAUAUAUAGUCUUUUAGUUGGUCUAUAUAUAUCUCUUCUUUAAGAUCUCUAUUCAAGAAUACUCUUUUGAUAUUUAUUUGAUGAACUUUCACAUCUUCAACUUCAACUAGUGCAAGAAGUAUACAUAUUAAGGUCAUUUUUGUCAUUGGAACAAAAGUCUCAUUGCAAUUAAUAUAUAUAUUUUUUGUGCAUAAACUUUUACAAUGAAUCUUGCUUUAUAGCACUUCUCUAAUCCAUUUAUAUUAUAUUCAAUUUUAAAAUCUAUUUGCAAACAAAUGAUUUUUUGUUUGCUGGUAAUAGUGUCAAAGUUCAAGUCUUGUUGUUAAUCAAACUUUGGUACUAUGAAUCCAUUGCUUCCUUUUACUUCUAAGCAUCAUCUUUUUUCAUAGAUUCAAUGAUAGUAGUUGAUUCUGUAGUGCUUAUGUAAAAAACAUGUGCCAUAUAUGCUGAAGAUAUGAAUGAUGUCAAAGAAAUCUAAGCCAAUGUUAAUUCAUUAGAUGCUUGCAUGUUGGCUUUAUAGAACCAUUUACAUUGAAAUGUAUCAAUUUCAAGAAUUUUGUUGCAUAAGUACCACUUUUUAUUAAAAAAAUAUCACAAUAUUAUUUUCUAUAAAUACACUUUUUAUAAAAUUUUAAUUUUGUGAUCUUACUUAUGUUUAGAUGAAUGAUCAUAUUACAUGUUUAUAGUUUCUUCAAGCCUAAAAUGAUAAAAUGACUAUAUUCUUGAUACCAAAGAUUAAGCUUGUUCAAAGUUUGUUUUAUCUUUAUAAUAAGGAAAAUACUUCUAUCUUCAUACAAAGAUCCUAAAAGCUUAUAUAAGCUAUUAUACCUAAUAUCUUUGAUGGUUUUAUUGUCUCAUUUCAUAAGACAUGUAUUAGUCUUGAAAUUGACUUUAUAACCUUCAUUUGUCAUUUUGCUAACAAAAAAAAAUUCUUAGCCAAUUAUUCAACAUAUGAGAUUUCAUGUAUAUCUUUUUCAACAUUUUUUGAAAAUUAGAAAAAGAUCUUACUCUUCUCUUUGAUUGAAAGUCUGAAAUCAUUGCUCAAAUAGAUUUUAGGGCCAUGUGAUAGAUUUUUGUAAUUUAAAAAUCAACUUUGAUUUUCUAUCAUGUGUUAAAAAGUACUAGAAUUGAUGUACCAUUUUUUGUUACUUUUGUCAUAGAUAAUGCAGCUAUAAAGACAAAUUCAUCUUCCUUUUGAUCUUUCUUGUCUAUUCUAUUAGCUUGCUUUUUUUGAAAAAUCUUCUUUAAUUUUUUUGACUUUAUGUCUUUUUCCUUGAUAUAACAUUCUUUUUCAUAGUGACCUUUUUUGCUAUAAUAUUUUUAUAUGGUAUCCUUUUUGUGAUCAUGUAAAGACCUUCUAUGAGUAUAAAUAUAAAAAAUGUGGCUUGGAUUUUUUUUUUACAGCCAAAAAGUAUACAUCAAAGGUUAAGUAAUUUUUUUUUUUAUUAAUUUCUUUCUUGUGCCAUGAUGCAUCCAACUUCUAAUUCUAAUUUCAAAUCUAAAUCUCUUCUCACUAAAAUGAUUAUAAUUUAUAUAAUUAUUAAUCUAAUUUAGGCAAAUUUUAGAUCAUUAAACUUAAUUUAAGUUAUAAUCUUUAAAUUGUCAAAGCAAAUAAAUAUUUUUUUAAAAAAUGAGAGCCAAACCAAAGAAAAAAAGUUGGCUGCUUAUUGCAACCAUUGUACUUAAAAUCGUCAUCUAUAAAUUAAUUUGAAUCUCCUUUGUCAUAUCUUUUCUUCUUAUAUGCUAAAAUUUAUUGAAAAAAUAAUAAAAAAUCUAGCUCCUUUCAAAUUCUUAAAUAAUAAGAAAGAAAAUACAAGAAAUAGUACAAAAAACUCCAGAUUAGUCUUGAAUCACACUAUUCAAAAAUUAUAGUGAUUGUCUUCUUACAAAUUCACAUAGAUCACCCUUGUUACAACUCUUAUUCUUGUAUGUUAGAUCUUAUUGAAAAGCUAACAAUAAGAUCUAUUUUCUUUCAAAAUUUAAAAAUAAAAACAUAAAAAUGUAAUAAAUGGCAUAGAAAAUCUCAAACUAAUCUUAAAUUUUGCCACCAAAAAACUCUAGCAAUUUUUCUCCUACAAAUUUUCAUAGAUUUCCUUCAUCACUACUUCUCUUCUUAAGUGUUAGAGAUUGUUGGAAAGCUUAUAAUAAGAUCUAUCUUCUUUCAAAAUUUCAAUAUGAAAAGAUGAAAAUUUAGUAAGUGGCAUCAAAAACCUUAAACCAAUCUUAAAACUUCAUACUCCAAAAUUCUAGCAAUUUACUCCUACACACUCCUAUCCAAGAAAAAAAAAAUUAUUAGAUGCCAAAAUCCUUAUUCUAAUCCUUUUCCAAUACUUGCCUUGAAUCUUUAUAGAGUCAAAUAUCUAUCUUAAAAGACUAUAUCUUCGAAGCUUGAAUAAUGUAUUGAAGCUAAUGUUCUCCUAUUCUAAAUCUUAUUUAAAAUUUUAGAUAUAUUAAUAUUAUAUUCCUUCUUUCUUAUAAAUAAAGUUAGUUAUUCUUUAAAUAUCUUUAAUGCACUUAAAUUAAGUGUAGCAUGAUAUUCAUCUCUUUCAAACCAAUAUAUAUUCUAAUAUGUGCCAAAGAAUUAGAUUAUAAUACUUUCAUCAUUAAAAUCAAAGUCAUUGUGAACCAUAUCACUUUUGAACUAUUGAUCAAAAUAUUGAGAUUCAAAAGCCUCUAAAUCCUCCAUAUAAUUCAUCCCAUCUUAUCGUUUGAAGACUUCAAUUGACUAUUUUGCAAUCUUAGUCUUCAAUGGUAUCCCAUCUAACUUUCAAAGAGAAUAAGUUGCAUUAUCAUAUACUUCAACCACCAUAGAGGGUCCAAAUCAAUGCCAUAUAAACUUACAAAGAAUAGAAUAUUAGUGCAUCAAAUUACUAUCAGAAAUUAAAAUCCAAUUAUUAUCUUUAAUUUGCUUAAGCCUCAAUUAAUGAAUUUUAUCAAACCUCUCUUUAUUGUUCAACCUUGCCACCUUAAGUCUCUCCAUAGCAACUUGAUGAUCCUCAAGCAAUUCCUUCAAUUGAAAAAUUUAAAGCUCCAACAAUCUUUCCAUCUCAAUGCUAUCUUUUUAAGAUAAAAAUAAUUAAAAAAGAAUAGACUCUUCUAUAGGCAAUAAAGGCUUUUACUUCAAUAUCAAUUCCAUUGACAUAUAACCAAUAAAUAUGCUAUAAGUAGUCAUAUUUGCCUAUAAAAUAAAUAACAAAAGUCUAAACUACAACCUUGUUUGAUCCUUACGUGUCUUGACUAAAGUUUAAAUAAUUGAGAGAUGUCAUCUAUCACUCUUAUUAUUGGCUUUGGAGUUAUAGAAGGUGGUCAACUUUAAUUUUAUUCUAUGUCUUAUGAAAAAAUCAUGUGCUUCUAUUAUAUAAAGCUUACUUUGAUUUGCUCUGAUUCUUUCAAUGAUUCUAUAGCAAUAUAUAAUAUCCUCCAAAAUAAAUCAAUAUAUUAUCUCUAUAGACUUUGACAUCAAUUUCCUUCUUUUUAUAUAAUUGAAAGUUCAUCUUUUGCCAAAAUUAAGUACUUUGUGCCUCAAAGCUUCAUUUAUAUAAUAACUAAAUCAAUCAUCUAUUAAAAAUAAAUAGUAAGUAGAUAGGUAGGACAUAAAACAUCUUUAUACCUCAUCUUGGAUUACAAUUGGUACUCUAUACAAGAACUUAUAAACUCCUCUACAUCCUUGUAUAAAGUCCUUCUACCAAUAGCACUUUUUGAUCUUGAUGUACAUAGCUCAAACACUUCUAUAUCCAAUAUGAAAGUAAAUUUUAUUCCUCAAUCCAAAUUAUAAGAUGGCCUCAAUUAAGAGUUGCUUAUAAUUGAUCAUGUAAAGUGAAAAUAAAAAAUAAUAAGAAUGAAAGAAGAAAAAACACAAAACAAAUGAAAUAAAUGAAAUCAAGCAAUUAUAUAAUUCAUAUCUUAAUCACAAUAUAUUCAUUAAGUUUUUAUUUAAUAAAAAGUAAAAAAUUAAAAAAAUAUUUUUAAAAAGAUAUUUUUUUUAUCUUUUAAAUGAUAUAAGAAAUAUGUAAAUCUAAAUUACUAUGAAUAAAUUAUAUAAGUUUAAAAAUAAUAAGUAAAUAAAUAAAAAAUUAAAUAAAAAUAUUUUACCUCAAAUAUAACUUAUUCAUAGAUUAAGAAUCUAAACCUCACUAAUACUUAUAUGUAAUAGAUAUAGGUAUUUAAAAGAAGUCACAAAGCCUUAGACUUAUUUUCUUAACUACCUUUAUGGUGCUACAACCCAUUUAGGACUUGUGCACCUCUUUUCUUAUAAGGACUACAUUAGUUGCUACUCCUCCUAUUUUCUAUUAGUAGAUCUAAUUUUUUUAUAUUUUUGACUUCACCAUGGUGUUUAAAAAUAUCCAAAUAGAAAAAUAGCCUAGUGUGGCCUUUAAAUCUUACUCCAUUUCUUCAUAAUGGCUCCCAAAGUAGUAAAACUAAUUUUUACUAAAGUCUUAAAUAUUACUCUAAAAAUUCUAAAUAAAUUUUAAAACUUCUUAUAAUAGUUUUAUAAUAUUAAUAUCAAUUUAAGAUUAUAAUUUCUUAUUUUUAAUUUUUUUAUAAUAAUAAAAUUAAUUUAAAUCUAUUAUAAAUCUUACUUUCCAUAUAAAUAAUUAAAAGAUAUGAAAUUCUUUUUCAUGCUUCUUCUAUCUAUUAACUAAUAUUUACAGUUUUUUAAUAAGUAAUACUUAUAGAUAGAAGGCCAAUAUAAAUUUUGAUCUUAACAAAUAAUCUUUAAUACUCAAUAAUAAGUAAAGAUACUAAAUUAACUAAGAUAAUUGUCUCCAAGACUUACUAAGACUCUAUUCUUACAACUAACAUUCUAAUUUUUUAUUUGCCUAAAGAUUUAUAUAUUAUUAACCAUAUAUUAUUUUUUAAGUAUUCUAAAUAUAUCUUUUUGUCUUAAAAUAACUAAUGAGUUGAUUUGAUGAUUUAUGUCUAAUCCACAAUGUAUUAAGAAACUCACUUAAUACCUUGUAUUUGAUCUUCAAAUCAUCCACUACUCUCAAUGAGACACCAUCUCUCUUCUUUGGUCUCUUCCACAAAAACCCAUUACGUAAAAGAUAAUUAUAAGAUUGGUGCCUAAUAUCCUUAAAGAUCUUAUUUAGUCAAUCUUCUUGCGGCUUCAUUAUGUUUAAAUACAAGCCAAUGUUUUUCAAGCUUCCUUCAUUUAAAUCAAUUCUAAAAGAUAGAAUCUCAUCACUUUGGUCUCUUCCAAUUUUAGAAAAUUCAAAGCCUUACAUCAAGUCUCCAUUUUCUUCUUAUGCAAGCAUUUCUUCUCCCUUAAGUACCUAGUUUUAAAUGACAUAUUUGCAAUCAAGUUUUUUUUGUCCAUGAUAUGUAUCAAAAUAAGAUUUAGAGACUUAAUAAAAGCAAUCUAUCUAAGCAUAGCAAUAUCUGGUGUAAUAAAAUUGAAAACCAUUCUAAGCAAAGACAAGAAAUUCAUCUCUAAUAUGACAUGAAUAUCUAUUAAGUAAUUUCUUUCAGCCUUCAAGUGCACCCUCAAAACCCUCUUUUCACUUGUAGAUAAGCUUGUUUCCUCUCAUUGAGAGUCCUUGCUCUAAACCUAAUUACAAAUCGGUUACUUUUCUUAUCAUCUUCUUCAAUAGCCCAUCCAAUGACUAUAGAACUUGUGUCAAUUGUCACUAUUAUUGAUCUUCUAUAAUUAUAGUCCACUUAUUUUAAUAUUAGUGAUAAUUUCAAAACCAUCUUUAAUUGAUUUAUAGCCAAUUCUUGCUCUUCAUCUUAUACAAACUUCUUUUUUUUUCAAUAAUCAAUACAAAGGCUCUAUAAUAUGAAUAUAAUGAAGAAUCUAUAUAUGAUAAAAUAUAUAAAUAUUUAAAAAUCUUCUUACAUUAGUAAUGCUUAUAUAUGCCUUCAUCCUUGUUGUGGUGUCUAUCUUAUUUAGAUUUGAUUUUCUUCUAUAGCUUCUAUAUAAAUUUUCAACUACCAUAAUUUGUUUAAAUCUAAAUGUAGACUUUUUAAGAAAUAAAUUAAGAUUUAUCUCUUCAAAUUUCUUCAAAAUAAUUUUUAUAUAUUUAAUGUAUACUUUUAUAAAUGUAUGGCAUCUAUCUUCUCUCAAAGUCAAAUUCUUAGCUUCUUCCUUGUAAUCCUUCAUUGAAACAUCAUCUAAAAAUGGUAUGAUUUUUUUCAUUAUAAACUCUCUUAAAAUUUGAUUCAUUACAUUUUGCAUAUGAGCUACCAAAUUAGUUGCAUCUUGUGACAAAGUACAUAUGCAUACUAGAUUCAAAAAAAUCUUUAUAGUAGUUAAGUUCCUACUCUCUUAUAUUAAUUAGAAUUGAUUAUAAUCCAAGUAUAAAUCUUGGCUAGAAUAAAUAAUAUGCAUUGUAGAAGCUUCUACUACUUUAUCUACCACAAGUCUUAACCUCAUAUUCUUAAUAGUCACCUUAUUGGCAAGUUGUAUGUCUUGAAUGAAUCUAAACACCUAGACUUUUUUGGCAAGGUGAACCAUCAAUCAAAAUAAGCUACAAUAGAUGGCUCAAAGAUAUCUACUUUAACCUUUUCUUUCAAAAAAUCUAUCAACUUAAGAAAUAAAGCCUUGAGCAUCAAAAUAGGUUUCAAGUUCCAAGGCACAUAUUAAAUGGUGAAAAUAACCAUAGGUGCUACUAUGCUAGGAUCUACACAACCAAUUUCUUUAGGUACAAAAGUAAAAACCUUACUAUGCUUAGAAAACAACUCUAGAAACUUCUCUCUUUCUUGGUUGAUAAAAAAAUCACCUCUUCCAAUCUUUAACUUGUCCAAAGAUUCAUUCAUAAACUUGUGAUUAAUCUUUCUUGAUUCCCUUAAUCUUGGCUCUAUGGUAGUUUGUUUGAUAUGCUCUUUGAUAUCUUGAGGUAAUUUGAUUGCUACAAGCUUCACCUUCUUGGCUACAAUUUUAUACUUAGUAUGUACCAUAGCUUCUUGUAGUAUCAUAUGACUAUGAACCACCUCAAGCCUCAUUGAAAUUCCAAAUUUUUUUCAUAUAUUUGCCUUAAAUAAAGUUCUAUACCAACAUUAACUCUACCUCCAUCCAUAUGCAAAUCCAAUUGUGAUCUAAAAUAAACCUCCAUUAGUUUAAAGUUUAUUUUAAUUUAUAAUAAUUAAAUUAAUUAUUUAAUUCUUAGAAAUUAUAGUUCUUAUUGAAUUUUUAAUCAAUUCAUUUUUAAUUCCUUAAAUCAUCCAAAGGAGAGUUAAAAUAACCUCUAUUACUUGGAUAAUUAUCUUAGUUCACCACAAUUGUAUUAACUAUCAAAAUUCACAAGUUAUAACUUUUAUUUAAAUUCUAAUUAAUCAUGCUUUAAUCUUCUUUAACAUUCAAGUAAUUAAGCUCAACUUCUAUUAGUAAUUCAUAUUUAUAUUAAUAACUAUUUGACAAAAUACAUAAUUAAAAAAUCUUUUUUUAACUCUGAAUUUAAUUCAAUCAAUUAAAUAAUUUUUUUUGUUGUUUUUUAUUUUUUUUUAUUUUUAAAAUUUCAUCUAUUAACAAAAGAUCAUUCAAGUAUAAUUUAUCAUCCUUGAAUAAUUUAUCAUCUAUCUUAGAAUUUCUUCCUUGAUUAAAUUUAUCAUCUAAUAUGCAAUACUUCAUAUCAAACCUUAAUUGAGUGCUUCUUUAAUCUGAAUCUUUUUAAAAACUUGAAUUUAUCUUCUAAAUUCAAUGCUGACAAGUCAAUGUUACAACAACUUUAGUGUGAUUAUUUGCCUUGGUAGCAAGGAAUGCCAUUUAGUCACUCCUACUGCCAAGACAAGUAUUUUGGAAGCUUUUUUAUAUUAAUUAGUGGCUAUUAAAAAACAAGAAAAGUCCUUAAUUUUAUUGGAUAUCACUUGUUAGUAUCUCAAUGUUCCUAUUUUCAUAGUAUUUUGAUCCUUUGCUACUCUAUUCUUUUUGAAAUUAUUAGAUUCUUUUAUCAUACAAAAAGUUGCUAAUAAAGUUCUAGUCUCAAUUUUAAAUGUUCCACCAACCUUUUUUUUUUUUAUUAAUUCCUUACAAAAUUUACUAAAAGAUAUUAUACUUUCAUUUCAAUUGUCGCUUAUCUUGAAUCAAAUUAUAGUCUACUAGACUAUGUAUUAUAAAUGAAUUCAUAUAAGUAAAUUGUGCAAAGAUGCUUAAUAAUUCAAUCAAUCUAGAAAUUAAACUAUAAUUGUAAUAGGGCAUGGAUAAGAUAUUUGUAUUGUUGAUGCAUAGAAAUAAGUAGUUGGAGCCAUUUUUGAGAAUUUUUUAGAAGUUUUUAGAAUUAAAGCUAGGUUGGUGGUCUAUAUAGGACCUAUUAUGGUACAUUCUAAAAAGACUUAAAGAGGUUAUCUAGAUAGAACCUAUCUCUAAAAUCAUCUAAAAAGGUGAUUAUUUAAGUAGGAUCUACUUUUAAAACCUUCUAAAAAGGAUAAUUAUCUUAGUAGAAUCUACCAUUAAGAAUAUUCUAAAAUAUUUUAAGAUAGUUAGACAAAGUAUAAAUAGGAGUGGCCAAUGCCAUUUGGAUAUUUAGUUAGGUAUAGUUUUGGUUCUUUUCUCUUAAGAAAGUUUGGUUUGUAUUUUUUUGUUCUAUUAUAUUCUCUUUUACUUUAUUUUACCUUUCAUGUUCAAUUUUAUUUAGUUCUAUUCAAUUUUAUUUUAGUCUAUUCUAUCCUACGUUGUAUUUUGAUAUAUAUUGCUAUAGAUUAGAGGGAUUUUAGAUCUUAGAAAAAAAUCAAUCCCAUUUCAACAAUACUUAAUUAUUAUGUGAGCAUAGUUUUUUUAAUUCUAAAAAAUACCAUUGAAUCUUAUUUUUUUUUUAAUUUUUAAAAUUUUUUUUUAAAUUUUUUUUAUCGCCAAACUUAUUUAAAAUACUCUAGUUUGAGGUCAUGACUUGAAACUCAAUGGAAUAUCAAUUUUUGGAAUUUCUUAAUACUAAAUGAUUUAUCUUUUUCAACUUCUUCUAUAUAAAUUGAUUCCUAGCCAAAAGAUGGAACCAAACAUAUGUUAUGCGUCAAUCAAAUAUAAAGUAAUUUCUUUAAUAAGAGUGAUCAACUGAAACAUUGCUUUGUUAUUAAUCUCUAGAUUGAAUCUAAAGAGUCAAAUAUCAUCAAAUUUACUAUUAGAUUGUUGUUAAUUGGACUUUGUAGUAUUGUUGCCAAAUCCAUGCUAUUGGUUAAAUUUGAAGGAGUAAUUACCUUCUACUUCAAUACUAAAUUCGAAACUUACUAGAGACAAAAUAUUUAAAUUGAAUUGCCUCCAAACAGCUUAGCUCUACUUAGUAAUUGAUUGCUCACCUACUCAACAACAACAGAGAAAGAAGGUAGACAAGCUACUGCUUAAUUGCUCCACUUUGACCACCAUAUACUAAUUAUAAAAAAAAUACCACAACAUAAAGUUACUAUAUAAUAGUAAAAAGAUGAAGAGUGACACACUUACUACACUACAACAAGUGUAGGGAAAAAGAAUAAAAAUAAAAUGACAAAGCCUUGUAGGGCUUCAUCCUUUGCAACAACUAUAUAUAUAAGAAAAAAACAAAAAAAACAUAGAAGUGAUGCACCACAUUACUUCCAUAAUAGAAAAGAGAACAAAAUCCAAUUCUAGAGUGCCGAAGCUUGUGAACCAUAAAGAGAAUAAAAAUAAAAGACAAGAGACCAUAGCACCACUUUAAUCAUUGCAACACAAAAGAAUACACAAAAAUUGAAAAUGCCAUAAGACAACAACAAUUCGAUCUUAGCCACAAUAUACUAAAAAAAAACCAUUGAAGACAAAAAAUAAAAAUAGCCACAGAGAUUCUUUUUUGUGACAAAAAAAAUAAUUUUUUUCUACAAUAACAUACAAAAUGUACUCACAACUUGAAAUUACAGCAUUUUUUUUUUUUUUUUUUUUUUUUUUUUUAAAUCUCAUAUUUCUUCACCUAAUCCUGAUAUAUAUAUGACCUAAGUCUCCAAUCUUUUGAAAUCUCAAAUCCUUCAAAGUUGUCAAAUCCAAAAAUCUACAUUCAAAGCUAUGUAUAUUGAAGAGUGUAUAAGUAAAAGAGUCACUUCUAUCCUUAUACCUCCAUGCUAUAGAGAUACUCUUUAGAAAUUUGAAAAUUCUUCAUUGGUCCUCAAAAGAGCUUCUAUCAAUUGGUCUUUAUUUUAUCCAUGAUCUAAUCUUAUAGUGAAGAAUUGCAUUAACUUUUUUCUAUUACAGUUCCUAAUCUUUGCAUAAUAAGAACCAUCAUUUAAAACCUUGGUUUCUAUCCUCGUAGCCAUGAUAUAAAGUUGUUCUAAAAUCUUAAGGUAAGUAGCAGAGUUAUGCAUAUAUUUUUUUUGCUCCAUCUCCAUAUCUCCAAUCCUUGUCUUAAUUCUUGGAUAUGCUUUAUAUAAAUCAUUUUGCUCAGUGUUGGCAGCCCUCAAUAUCCAUUUAUAAUUAAUAUCAAUGGACCACUUAUUCAUCUUGUAAUUCUUUUUUGAUAUUAUGUUGAUCUAUGAUCUAUGAUCAAUAAGUGCUAAGGUAUAUUUUUUCAGGUCUUUUAAUCUCAUUUGAACAUUGUUGAUAACCUUAGUUCAAACAAGAUGUGGAAAUUAAGCAUUCAUCUUCUCACCCUCAAACCUGUCAUAGAAAGUAAAAUUAGAUACAUUUACUUCACUUAUAUUUAUAUCAUGCUCCACCUCUUUGCUUCUUCUUGAUCUUCUUUGAUGUUUGCUUCUAUCAUAGCCUUGAGUAGUUAUUUUUUUAUUUUUUUAUUUUUUUUUAUUUUCUUUUAUUUAUUUUUUUAUUUUUCAAAUAGCAUCCUCUCAAAAUUAGGUACAUAAAGUUAGAAGAAGACUCAUCCUAUGUCUUGGUUUUCUUUUCUAUUUAAAUAAGAGCCUAAUGCCUUUACUAUAAUUGCCUCUACUAUCAUUUUUCUCUUCUUGUUGACAUCAAUGAUAAGCUCAUAGAAGUCUUUCUUUGCAAUGUCAAGUACUUCUUUUAAAAUAAACUCAAUUUUUAUAUCAAAAAUCUUUUUCUUUAAAAUUUCUUUUAUAUUAAUAGAGCUUUCAAUAUCCAAUUGAAGCUUAUAAGAAAGGCCCUUAUCUUUUGGCUUGUUUGAGUUUUCUUUCUCUUUGUCUUUUGUUCUACUGUUUGAAGUCCAACUUAACUUCUUCGUUGAGAUGAAGGCAAUAUUUGAGCUUAUAGAUAAAAAGACCCUUUUCUUUCUUGAGUAGAUUCUUUAAUCUUUAGUAGCCUCAUCUUAUUGAAGAAUUCUAGUAUAUCUUCUUGUUAGAACUUAGUCUUCUUUUCUUCCACAAUAGCAUCUUGAUCCUCCAAAUCCUUAUUAUUUUUCUUAGAUUGGAGUAGAUGUCACCAGAUUCAAUAAAAUGAUUGACAUCAUAUGUAAUAGAACUUCAUGCUUCAAAGUCGUUCUUCUUGCUUUCACCGACCACUACUUGGUCACCAAUAGCACUACAUAUUCUACUCUCUUAAUAAUUAUUUAAAUCUUCUUCAAUGGACUUAUGAAUUAAAAAUAAUAAAAACAUAUCUUCUAAUGCUUUAUCAAUUGCUUACAAAAAGAGCUUGGUCUUCAUAAUACUUAAUAAAAGUCUCUUUAAAGAUGAAAGUAAAGAAAAUUUUCUCUCAAAUUUCCUAAGUAAUUUGCUUGGGGCCAUAGACCUCCUUAGUUGUUACUCAAUCCACUCCAAAAAUAAAUUUUUAGUGAUUCUAUCAAAAUCUUCAUCAUAUAAUUUAUCCUUGAACCUCCCUUCAAAGUCAAUCUAAAUCUUUAAAUCAUCUUUAUGUAAAUUCUUCAUCCUCAUUCUAAUUUCAAGAAUGCAUGCUAAUUCAAAAUUAGGAAUAUAGUGAGACUUAGGAACUUAAUAUACCUCCAUCUCUCUUAUAUAUGUGCACAAAAACUUAGUAAUGUUGCUUCCAUCAAACCUCCUCUGGUUGUUAACCAUGCCUUAUAAUGCUUUCAUCAUCUUUUUUUUUAUUUUCUUGUACCUUUUUUUAUCUCUAUAUGAACAUGUCAAAGCCAAGAAUAAAUCAUUAGCACUUGCUACCUUAGUGACACUUAUAUUGGCUCCUCUAAAAUCAUCCAUCAUCUAUAAAUAUAAAAAAUUUCUUACUUCUCCUUUUAAACUCUUAAAUUCUUUUUCAUGCUCUAAGCUUGUACCUCAGCUCUAAAAAUCCAUUGUGCUCUACUUAUACUCUAAAUUGCCUCAAGGAUGCUCUCAAUAGAAAUACCAAAUUUAUAUUUAAAAAACAAGCCUUUUUAGGAGAACAUAAAAUCUUUGAUUGCAAGUAGAUUAUAAGAAGCACAAUAUUAUCCAAACAAAUUUAAAUAAAAAAUAAUAGUCCAAAGGCUAAAUACAAAUUUUAUAUUAAUUUCUUUCUCGUAUUAAGAGGCAUCUAACCUCCAACUCUAAUCUCAAACCUAAGCCUCUCCUUACUAAAAUACCUAUAACUCAUAGAUUAAAUAUCUAAUUUAAUCUAAGAAAAUUUUGGCUCAUUGAACUUAGGUUAAGUUAUAAACUUCAAAUUUUUAAAGUUAAUAAAUAAUUUUUUUUAAAAUGAGAGGAAAACUAAAGAAAAAAAUUUGGCCGCUUGUUGUAGCCACUAUCUUCAAAAUCCCUGUCUAUAAAUUAGCUUGAAUCUUCUUUGUCACAUCUCUUCUUCUUGUAUACUAAUUUUUUUUGAAAAACUAACAAAAAAAAUUCAACUUCUUUUAAAAUAUUAAAUCAAUAAAAUAAAAAAAUAAAAAAAUAUAAGAGAAUCUUAAAUUUUUUUUAUAUAAUAUUGUCCAAAAACUCUAAUAUCUCCUUUUAUACAAACUUACAUGGAUCUUCCUUGUCACAACUUUUCUUAUUGCAUGCUAAAGCUUGUUCAAAAGCUGACAAUAAGAUCCACUUUUCUUUAAAAUUUCAAAACAAAAAGAUAAAAAUGCAAUAAAUGGCAUAAAAUACUCCAAACCAAUCAUGAAUCAUGUAACUCAAAAACUCCAAUGAUCCUUCUUUUACAAAUUUACAUGGAUCUUCUUUAUCAUAGCUACUCUUCUUGCAUACUAGAACUUAUUGGAAAGCUAACAAUAAGCUUAGUUUCUUUCAAAAUUUCAAUAUAAAAAGUUAAAAAUUUUGUAAGUGACAUCAAAAAUUCCAAAUCAGUCUUGAAACUUUUUUCCUCCAAAAUUCUAAUGACUCCCUCCUACACUCCUAUCCAUAAAAAAAGAAAAAAAAUUCUACUUGAUGCUAAAAAUUUUAUUUUAAUUUUCUUCCAAUACCUGCCUUGAAUGAUUAUAGAGUCAAAUAUCUAUCUUAAAAGACAAUAUUCUAAAAGCUUGAAUGAUCAAUUUAAGCUAAUAAUCUCUAUUUUAAAUUCUAUUAUAAUUUAUAAAUAUAUUAACAUUAUAUUCUUUCUCUCUUAUAAGUAAAAUUAAUUAUCUUUUUAUUAUUUUUAAUAUACUUAAAUUAAGUGCAUCACAACUCUGCAGUCUAAAACUUGUGAAUUAAGUUCAAUAAGCUUGACAUAUUUUUAAUCUCAUACAUUUCUUUCAAAGUAUUCUAUGUAGUCUCUACACUUAUUGUUUUGCUUUUUUUCAUGAAUUUUGAACCAUAAAGAUGUUGACAAAUUGCAAAUAAUGUCUGCUUGUCUAUAUCUUUCUAUAUUUUUAACUCCAUUAGAUCUACAAGUGACCUAUUGGAUUUCUUAUAUUUUUCUUAUAUAAUAUUUUUUUAAUUCCUUAUUGAUUAAAAUAUAUCUAAUUCUAUCCUCCCAAAGGUGCCAAUUAUUCUUGAUAAAUUUUUCUAUGAGAUGAUACUGUCAAGGACAUGAAUCUCAAAGAAAAAAAAUUCUUAGUACAUUCUUGUGUCACUAAAGAGAAUAAAAAAGUCACUCAAAAGGUGAUGUAAUAUUAAACUAGAAUAGCUAUUGCUAAAAACAAGAAGAUUAGAAGGGCUUGAAGCAAGAUUAAAGACUAGAAAGGCAUUGACAAGAGUGAAGAAGGCUUCACUCUUGCCUCUAUAUAUACUCUCUAAUUAAGAGCUAUGUGGCAAUAUUCUAUAGGACCUCUAACAUGUGUUGACUUUGCUAGCCACAUGUCUUAACUUGCAAGGCAAGUUAUCAAUGUAUGUGCUACAUAAUUAGCUUAUUUUAUAAGCUAUUAUACAAAGUUAACUUGUUCUAUAAGCUACCAACAUGUAGUUAAUUUUUUGAUCAAGUUUCUAACUUACAAAUACAUCUAAAGUCAAAACCACAUAUGUAAAGCUUUUAGGAAGCUAUUCUAAAAGACUUUAUGAAAUUAAUCUAUAUUUAUCUAUUUCUAGUUAAUCAUAUAAAUAAUUAUUGGAAUAAAUAUAUGUAUGUUUGUGAUAUUUCCUCCCGGUCUAAGAACGAGUUCCAUGAGGAGCAGUCUUCAUAUAUUGAAAAAGUUCAAAAUGCAACAAAUUAUAUUUGUCACAUACUCUAAUCUUUGCUUUCUUUGAAGAUGGUUGAUAGGCCCUCUUAGGCAUCAAUAGUGUCCUAUAUCAAGGCAAAAAGACCACCUUGUUAUUUGGUCGUUGUUCAGGCCUUUGUAACUUCCUUCAAAUAAAACAUUUGGAACACCGUCAAUAAUUGUUCUUACUUCUAAUAAAAUCACCAAACAUUGGAAGUCUCUUCUAAGGUCGUGAUAUCAAACAUGUUAUAUCUCACCAUGUAUUUGAGAAAAGAUAUGUCAUUCUUCAUGAUCUUCAUCUCGAUUUUUUCAACUUGAAGAUUGUGAUAAUUGCAAUGUCUCAUGUGAUAAGUCUGCAAAUAAAAGCUCUUAAGUUGAAUCUGCUAGUUGUUGGUUUUCUAUCUCCCAAGUAUCACAAAUACACAAAAGCUACAAAGAAAGAUAAAAGGUAGAGUAUUAUCUUUUUUUGAUCUUAUUUCUUUUAAAGUAAAGAUUUACUAUUCUUCAUCUUCAUUUUGAUAGAUGUCGUUGAUGAAAAGCUUAUUCUUUCUUUGUUGUAUUUAUAAGAUUCUUUGAUGGUUCCCAUGUACAUUCAUUAAAAUCAUAUCCAUGCCAAUCAACAAGAUAUUCCAACUUAGUUCAAUACUGCCUUGAAUCUAAGACUUUUUUCACUUCAAACUCUUGAUUAUUAUCUACUUCUAUAGAAAGAUGUGGCAAUUAUCAUCUUCUCAAGAUAUACACUAUCUUAUACGACUAAAAAAGGGACAUGUGAAAUACAUGGUGGAUCUUCAUAGAUCCUGGUAGAUGUAAUCGAUAUCAAUAUAAUUAAUUUGUUCACAAAUAGAAAAAGGUCCCAGCCUACGAUAGUCCAAUUUAUUACAAGCAUGAGUAGUCUUGAUAUUGCGAUGAAAUAACCAUACCAUGCCACCUAUAUUGAAUUGUGGCUGCUCUUUGCAAUAGGCAUCUACGUUGGUAUUUUGAUGUCUUUGAGCUUCUUUUAAUUAUAUCUUCAUUGUUGCAUAUAGCUCUGACAAAUGAUUUGUUAAAUCUUUUGUUGCAGGAUUAUCAACUUUUGAAAAGUCAAAACUAUCAAAACUGAGAUGAUAAUCAUAAUUGGCAAAGAAAGGUAUUUGUUGAGUAGAAGAAUGUAAGGAAUUAUUCUAUGCAAACUCUAUCAAUGGCAAAAGAGUUGUCCAAUCAUCUUGAUGAUAGUUGAUGGUACAUUUCAAAUAUUGCUCCAAAACUUGAUUCAUCCAUUCCAUUUGCCUAUCAAUUUGAGGAUGAAAAGCCAAUGAAUUCUUUAUAUCCACCUUUAGAAUCUUGAAUAGGAUUUUUUAGAAUCAUGAUACAAAUUGAAUCCUCAUAUCUAAUAUAAUAUCUUUUGACAAUCCAUGAUAGCGAUAGAUAUUGUCAAUAAAAAGCUUAGGUGUUUCUUCACCUAAAAUAGAUUUUAUAUAUAGUAUAAAAUGUGUCAUUUUGAUGAAGCAAUCUAUAAUUAUGAAUAUAGAAUCAUAUGAACAUGAGAUUGAAAGAUUUGUGUUAAAAUCCAUAGAAACGGAAGACCAUAAUUGUUCCAAAAUUGGUAAUGGUUGAAAAAGUCCAUAAGGUCAAUGGUGAGGAAUUUUGGAUCUUAAACAAGUAUUGCAUGUUUGUACAAAGUCUUUGACUGCCUUCAACAUUUAAAGCCAUUAAAAAUCUCUUGAUAUUAGCUCCAAAGUCUUGUUGUAUCCAAAAUAUCUAACUGCUAGAAAAUCAUGACAAGCUUAAAGGAUACGUAAUUGUACCUUGCCUUUUGGAAUAUAUAGACAAUCUUUAAAAUAUUGUAAAUUAUUUUUGAAUUAAAAAUUUGAAGUAUCAUAGGAUUUAGAAGAAGUAUUCUUGAUAUCAUGAACAAGAGGAUUAGAGGGCAUACUUGAUUGAAUUUGCUUGACAAAGAUUGAAUCAAUAAUCAAUAUUAAUUUUAUUGCUUGAAGAUGAAAAUGCUCGAACUUCAAGAAAAUUAUUCUUUAUUGAUCAAAAGAUGCAACUCCUUCUUUUGAUGUAAGGUAAAAACGUCUAUAAAGGGCAUCUAAUAGAUCUUGUUAUUUUUUGGAUCAAUAAGAGAUCUUGAAAUUGAAUCUGAAUAAAGACAUUAUGAAAUUAACUAGUAGUAUAAGAACUCAAAUCAAAAGCUCAUUUUAAAAAGCUAUUCUAGAAGAAUUUAUGAAAUUAAUCUAUAUUUAUCUACUAACUAAUUAUAUAAGUGAUUAUUGGAAUAAAUAUAUAUAUCCAUGAUAGAUAUUCUAUUAUUAUGAUAUAAUAAAUAUACUAAAAAUAAAAUAAAUGAUAGUACUAAGAAAAAAAUUAGAAGAGGUAAAAUUAGGAUCAAAAUAAGGCUCAAUAUCUUUUUAUAUAGCCUUUUAUUUGAUAAUUAAUAGAAAUUCUAAGUAUUUUCUAUAAUUAUGGUGCCAUCAAUACUUUCAAAAAAAUUCAAGUUAAAAUUUUUAAAAUUGAUUAAGACAUAUCAAUUUUAACAAAUAUAUAUCUAAUUUAAAUCAAAAAACUUAACUUGCAAAUCUUCUUAGAGUCCUUAGACUUGUUGGUCUCCAUAGAGUUCCUAAAUUCCUUCAAGCUAAAUGUUUGAAGUCUCAAUCUUCAUUUCAAAACUCUUAAUUGGCCAAUUUAACUCCCUAUUCUUGAAAAGAUGAUUUCAACUAUGCAUUCUUGGCAACCUAUUCUAAUAAGAUAAUAUCAACUAUCCUUUCUCAAUAGUUGAUAAAGAUUGUGUAUUUCUAAUAGCCCAUUCUUGAUUGCAUGUUUUUUAUUGCUUUGAAGUUCCAUAUAGACUGAGGCCUAUGUUUAUAGAGGUUGUAGAGUAUGGAUAGAGUUUCUUAAAGCUCCAACAUCCUUUUCUUGAUCUUUUUUAUUUCUUAUGUUGCUUCUAAUAAGAACUACAGAAAGUAAAUUAAACUUCCUCAGAGAUGAUCAAAAGACCACGUUCUACAAAACAACUUCUUAUAUAUAUUCAAUCUUUAAAGAACAAUUCAAAUACACCAAUCUUUGAUACCAUGUAGUAAAAUAUGAGGAAGAAAUAUAUUGUUAGAAUAGAAGUACAAAUAUGUGAAGAUAGGAGAACUAAAAUUGCUUGCCAAAAUGAACUUUUGAUUUGAGUUCUUAUACUACUAGUUCAAUGUCUAAUCACAUGGACUUUCUAGUAUAAAUAUGCAAACAACUAGUUUAGUUAAUAAUAUCCAAUUAAUAUGUGGAUACUUCUCUUAUUAUGCUAAAUGAUGGCUUGAUAGGCUAUGGUAACUUAAUAAUAUUACCACCAACAAAUGGUAGCUACAACUUGUUAAUUGACAAAGUGGUGUCAAUUGUCUAUUCUACAUUAUAUCUAAUAAGAAUAAUACAUUCUAUUAGUAUUUUCUUCAAUAAAUAAUAACUUCUAAGAAUUAAUUAAUUUUUUAUAAAUAAUCUUAUUUAUUUAUUUAUUUAUUUAUUUUUAUAAUAAUUAAGUUAAAUUAAAGAAAUUAAUGGAUAUUUUGAAGGACUUAUGGUAUAAUUAUAAGUAAUUAUAAUACUUAAAUUAAUAUAAUUAUUUAUAAGAAUUUCUAAAACAUCAUUAAAAUAAUAUUAUUUAAGACAUAAAGAUAUCUAAAAUGAUUCAAUUAUCUAUUAUCUAUGACUAAUCAAAGUGCAUAAUUUUUAAAGAAUAAUAAAAAAUCAAGAUUUACAUAGUGACUUCUCUAUUGAACAAACUUUACUAAUAUAAUGUUUUUUUUUGAAGCAAAUCAAUAUUAUAGGCAACCUAUAAACUUAUAUCUAUCAAGCAAAGAAUUUCUUAAGCUAAGAAAGUACAAGUAAUUUUUAUACAAACAAUACUUAUUUCAAAAGUAGCACAAAUAAAAAAGUUAAAAAAAUAAUUUAUAUAUAUAUAUAUAUAUAUAUAUAUAUGAGAUACAAAGAAAUUGGCAACGAUACAAAUGUAAGAUCUAAAGAAAUUAAAAGUAGUGUAAAUUUGAAAUCUAAGAUAAUUAAAAGUAACUUAGAUUUAAAAAUUGCUAUAAAUCUAAAAUAUAAUAUAAUUAUUACUAUUUUAAUAUAGGACUUAUUAUAAAUACAUUAAAAAAAUCAAAAGCUCUUCAAGUAAUUCAAAGUAUUACUCAAAUCCUUAGCAAAGUCAUUUAUAAAAUGCAUGCACUCAUUAUACACCUCAAUCUCAAAAAGUAGUAAAAUAUAGCUCCAAAAUAAGGAAACUUUGUGUAAAUAAGAAGACUUUACUUCUUGAAUUCAAGGAAGUUGUAUAAAUACAUAGACGGAUCAGUUCUAUACUUUUGCAUUAUCAACUUUUUAGGCAAAUGAUUAAAAUAAAAUAAAAAAGAAUUCAAAGCACAAAUGUAGAUUGUCAUGAAUGUCAAAUCUUUGAAAAAAACCACAUCUAAAAAUAUAACACUUUGGAAGAAAUGUAAGUAAAAUAAUAUAUAUAUAUAUAUAUAUAUAUAUAUAAACUAUUAAAGAUUAAUUUUUUAAUUUUUCUAACAUAAAUAGGAUAAAAAAAACUAGUUUUUUAUUUUAUUUUAUUUUAUUAUUCUAUAUUCUAACUUUUUAGAUAAUUUAAGAUAAAAAAAGAUUUUUAAGCACCUUUAAAAAAACCUUAAAAAUAGAUAGAUUAUUACAAUCCAUUUUUAUAGGAGGUGGUAGUAUUUGUUUUUUUUCCAAGAUAUUCAUUGUCUUAUAUGAUUUUAAAAGAGAUACAUGAAAUACGGGAUGGAUUUUCAUAGACUCCGGUAGAUAUAAUUGAUAAAUGACUAGAUUGAUGUAUUCACAAAUAGGAAAUGGUCCAAGUCUACAAUAAUUCAACUUGUUACAAGAACAAAUAGUUUUCAUAUUGUGACAAAGUAACCAUACCUUAUUAUCAAUAUGGAAAUGAUGUUGUUCUUGUAAUAAGCAUCUUUGUUGAUCUUUUGUUAUUCUUGAGCCUCUUUUAGUUGCACCUUUAUUAUUAUAUAUAGCUUAAAUAAAUGAUUUGUCAAAUCUUCUACUGUAGAAUUAUCAACUUUUAAAAAGUUGAAAGUAUUAAGUUAUAGAUGAUAUCUAUAAUUAAUAAAAAAAAAUAGGUAUUUUUUGCAUAGAAGAAUUUAUUAUGUUAUUAUAAGCAAACUUUGUCAAUAGCAAAAGAAUUGUUUAAUCAUCUUGUUGAUAAUUGAUGGUACAUCUCAAAUAUUGCUACAAAACUUGAUUUACAUGCUCUGUUUAUCUAUCAAUUUGAGGAUAGAAAGCUAAAAAAAUUUAAUAUCUAUUUUUAGAAUAUUAAAAAGUAUUUUCUAAAAUCUUAAUAUAAACUGAGUUUUUCUAUCUAAUGUAAUAUCUUUAGGCAAUCCAUGAUAGCAAUAGAUAUUAUCAAGGAAAAACUUGGUUGUUUCUUCACUUGUGAUAGUUUUUAUACAUGGUACAAAAUGUGCCAUCUUAGUAAAAUAAUCUACUAUCACAAAUAUAGAAUCAUAAGAACUUGAGACUAAAAGAUCUGUGAUAAAAUCUAUAGAAACAUAAGACCAUGGUUGUUUUGGAAUGAAUAAAGGUUGGAAAAGUCCAUACAAUCGAUGAUGAAGAAUUUUUGACCUUGAACAAAUAUCACAUGACUGGACAAAGUCUUUCAUUAUCUUCUACAUUUGUGGCCACCAAAAAUUUUUAAAUAUAAGUUUUAAAAGUUGGUUGUAUCCAAAAUGUCUGAUUGCUAGAAAAUCAUGACAUACUUAAAAAGUACAUAAAAAUAUAUAUAUUUUUUGGAAUGUAUAAGCACCCUUCAAAAUUGAGUAGAUUAUUUUUAAACUUGAAUUUGGAAGGAUCAUGAGAUUCAGAAGAUACGUUCUUAAUAUCAUAAAUAAGACAAUCAUAAGAUAUACUUGGUUGAAUUUUCUUCACAAGGUUUGAAUCAAUAAUUAAUGUUGAUUUUAUUGCUCAAAGAUAAAAGUACUUUGGCUUAAAGAGAAUCAUUUUUUGUUACUAAAAAGAUAUGCCUUGUUCUUUUGGUGUAAGAUAAGGAUAUUUAAAAAAGGUGUUUGACAAACCUUAUUAUUUUUUGAAUCAAUAAGUGAUCUUAAAAUCAAAUCUUGACAAAGUCAGGCUCCAACAGGCUUGGUGGCAAUUCAAAAUAUGUGCUGAUAUAAAAUAUUUAAGAUUCUUAUAGUUAAUAUAAAAAAUGACUAGAUUAGAAGUGCCUUCUAGAUGAUGAUGCUAUUUUAAAAAUAAGUUGAAAAUUACAAAAAGCUCUUUGUUGUGAAUCUUGUAGUUGAUCUCGGUUCUUAAAAAUUUUCUUGAAUGAAAAGCUAUUGGAUAAAACUUAUCAUCUGUCUCAUUUGUAAUAAUACAAAAUCCAAAGCAAAGUUUGAUGCAUUUUUUUCUAUAAAAAAUUGCUUAAAAAAGUUGACGUGAUAUAAGAUAGAUGCAAAAAUAAAGGUUAUCUUUAAAGUUUCAAAUACUACUUUUGCUUCUUGAUUCUAUUGAAUUUUGCCUUUAUAAGUCAAACGUGUAAGUGGAGCUACAAUCUAAGAAAAUUUCUUGAUGAAGAUAUGGUAGUAGUUGACAAAUUCUAAAAAAUAUUAGACAUCUCUUAUUAUUUUUGGGAUCUUUCAAUCUAUAAUAGUUUGAUUUUUUUAAGAUCUAUUAUAAAUCCAUCAUUUGAAAUGAUGUAUCUUAAAAAAUUGACUUGAGUAGUGUGAAAUAUUCACUUUUUUUUAUCUUGGCAUAGAAUCUCACAUCUUUUAGUUUUUGUAACAUACUAAUUUUUAUGUUUUUAGAAUAGAUUAAAAUAUUUUUUAGAUAACAAACAAUAAAAUUACUUAAAAAUUCUCAAAAAAUAUCAUUCAUUAGAUGUUGAAAAGAUGUUGAUACAUUUGUAAGUCUAAAAGGCAUGAUAUUGUAUUCAAAAUAUCCAUAUCUUGUUUAAAAAGUAAUAUUUUAUUAAUCUCGUUCUUUGAUGCAUAUUAGAUUGUAUGCUCUUUAUAGAUCUAUUUUUGUAUAGAUCUUAAUUUGAUUCAAUUGGUUAAGGAGUCUAGGUAUCAAAGGUAGUAGGUACUUAUUUUUGAUAGUCAUUUUGUUGAGUUUUUAAUAAUCAAUACACAUUUGCAAUGUUCUAUCUUUUUUCUUCAUAAAUAAAAUUGGAGCUCCUGUUAGAGAUUUGGAAUAGAGUAUGAAGUUCUUGGCUAGAUUUUCUUUAAUAUAUUCUUUGAAUUCAGCUAAUUUAUUUUAUGAUAAACUAUAAAUUGGUCUAAAUAUGGCUUGAACUUAUUCCUGAAGGUCAAUUGAACAGUCAUAGGAACGAUGUUCUGGUAGUGUACAUCUUGAAAAUAUAUAUUUAAAAUCUUGAUAUUGACUUGGAAUGCUACUUGAAGUCUUUUAACUAUUAGAAAUAGAUACAACAUAAAUGACAGAAGGUAAUCCUUCUUUUGCAAUAUGCAAGAAAGCUCUUCCACCUACAAAUAUAAAUUUAAUUAUAUUAGAUUUAUGAAUUUCUACUUGAUGAAUCAUACUCUUAGUUAUACUUUAAAAAAAUUUAAGUCUACAAGAAAUCUAAUCUAUUUUUGGAUUAUAUUUUUUUUAGCCAUGAUAGACCUAAAAUGAUUGGAUUAAAAAGAAAUCUAAUGAUAUUAAAUAUUACAAAGCUACUAUGACCAUUAGUUGUUAUUCUAUAAGAAGAAUUUCAUGAGUAAUAUUUCUUAAAGACAAUAGACGACUAUCUAUGACUUCUACAUGAACAAAUUUAAUUUUCUUCAUUAAAGAUAUGCUUUAUCUUUAAGCAAAUUCUUCAUCUAAAAAAUAUGCUAAGACUCUUGAGUCUAACAAGAAAAAGGCUUUGUAAUACUUAGUUCUUUAAAUAAUAUUUAUUAUAAAACAAAGAAAGGAUUUUGAGAAAAGAAUAGAACCUUCAUUAGGUGUUGUAUAAAGUUCCAACCGCACAGUCUCUAUUGUAGCUAAACAAACUUGUUUUCUGAUAUAUUAUCUUCUUUGAUAAUUGUAUUCCUCAUUUUGUAGUUGCAUCAUUUCUUUUGAUAAUAUUAAACAAUAUAUUUAGAUUCUCUAUAAUACAAGCACAAUCCUUCUUGACAUCAAUGAUUCUUUUCUUGCUUAGUAAGAAGUUUAAAAUGUACCACAUUAAUUUAUAUAUCCUCUACUUUCAAAUAUUUUUGUUGAAAAGACGUUGGCAUUGUCAUUGAAUUAUAGUAGUAUUGAGGUAAACUUGUACGACUUUCAAAUCAAAAUUCAAAAAAUUGAUGGUCACACCUCAAAGCAAAUUCAAUUGCUUGACUCAAUGUUUGGAGAUUAAAUAAGUUGAGCAUCAAUAUUUUUUACUUCAUAUUAUAAUCUAUAGAAAAAUUAGAUAAUAAGUAUAGCAUCAUUUUACUUCAUAUCACUUAUAAGUUGUCAAAACUAUAAAGCAUAUAACGUUAUUAAUUGAUUAUCUUAUCUUAAAAUAUGAAUCUUAUUGGUUGCAACACAAAUUACAUCAUAUUUUCCAUACAUGGAUCAAAAACUCUAUAAAAAAAAACCUUCAAAUUAUUCAAUAUUAGAUCUUAUUAUUUAAUAAAAAAUAAAAAACCAUAAUAAUGCUAAACUUGAAAAGAAUGUAUUAAUAAAUCUAACUUGUGAUCCUAGGAUUGAGUAACUUUAGAGUUGAAGUUCAAUGACAAAUUAUACUUGAUUAAUAAAUCUUUGAAAUUUGGCUCUUGUCCCAUCAAACUUCUUAGAUAGUGCAAUCUUUGAUUCUUUAAUACUAGAAGGAUGUUCUAUUAUAAGAAAAAAAUAUGAUUUUAGUACACAUCUUGAAGCAGAUCUAAUCAUUUUUGUAUUUUUACUCCAUGCCAUUAUUUUUGCUCUUUGUAGUAAUAAAUUGAGUUAAUAAAUUGCAAGCAUUAAUUCCUUCAAUUGCUCUUAUAUUUAUACAAUUACACUCUUUAUUUCAAAAAUCUUUACUAUGAUAAUACUUUUAAAAAAAAAAGAUGUCUAAUAUCACAUAAAACAAAUAAAAGAGAAGACUUGAAAAUAAAGAAAAAAUGCUAAAAAUAAUAUCAAUUAAGAAGAGGAUAAUUUGUAACUCCUAUUGAGCUGAAGUCUUAUUAAGAAAAAGCCGUAAUCCAUUUUCAAUCAAGAAAAGACAAAGCUCUAAUAUUGUAAAUAUACUCUUACCAAUCUAUUAACGACAAGAAUUCAAUGAAAGUAAAUAAAUAAGUGAGGUUUUUUCAAAAAAAAAAAAAAACAUAGAAAUAAAUAAAAAAGUAUAUUAAAAAAAAUUAAAAAAAAAAAUUGGAAUGGCUAUUGCUAAAAGACAACAAAACUAAAAAUUCUUAAAACUAAAUUAAAAAUAGAAAAGAAAUUGACAAGAAUAAAUAAUGCUUUAUUCUUGCGUCUAUAUAACCUACAUACCUAAGAUCUAUGUGGCAACGUUCUAUAAGACCUCCAAAAACGUGUUGACUUUGCAUGACAUAUAUCUUAACUUACAAGUCAAGUUUUCUAUAUAGGCACAACAUAGUUAGCUUGUUCUAUAAGCUACCAAUACAUGUAGCAUGUAGUUAGCUUGUUUACUAAGUUUUUAAUCUAUCAAUCAACUACAAAUACAUGUAAAGUCAAAAUAGCAUCUACAAAGCUUCUAAGAAGCUUUUUUAAAAGGUACUAUGAAAUUAAUCUACUUUUACUUACUACUAUCUAUUCAUAUUAUCUAGGAAAGAAUUACAAUAGAUAUAUAUUUUUGACACAUUGUGGAAAAAGCCAAAGGUAUUGAAUUCUAUAAGAAAAAUAUGAAGAAUUCAUACAAAAUAAUUAUAAUCUUCUAAUUAAAAUACUAUUUUUUUUUUUUAUGCAAAUCAACACAUUGAGAUUAAUUCAAAUGAUGUUUUACAAGCCAUAAAUAUCUUCUAAGAAGGAAUGAAAGCAUGUAAUAGAAAAGAAUCUUGAUUUAUUUUAACUUGGUAUAUAAGAAUUUCUUGCAUUAUCUAAUGGCCAAAAAUCAAUCAACUUAAAAUAAGGCUUUUGGAAGAAGUUUGCUAGCUAUAGAUCUAUGAACCAGCUUAAGAUAUAAUUAGUAGCAAAAAAUUAUUCAUAGAUAAAAUACAUUGAUUACCAUAAGAUAUUUAUAUAUGUGAUGUAUAUUAUGAUAAUUUAUAUUCUUAUUGUGAUUAUUGCCACAUUAAAAUAGAAUAUAUUACAAACUAAAUAUGUCUUAGCUUAUCUAAAUGGUGAAUUGAAAAAAUAUAUAUUUACAUAAAGAAUCCAAAGAAUUUGGACAUUCCAUCUAAAUAUAAGAACAAGCUAUUAUACUUAUUUGUAUGGCUUAAAUAAGUCAAAAGAUAAUGGAAUAUAAAUUUAGAUGUCUUUCAUAUAGAUCUUAGUUAGAAUUUAAUUAUUGCUUAUAUAUAAUAUAUAAUGGUGAUUUAGUGCUUAUAAUCAUCAUUUAUAUCAAAAAAAUAUUAACUAGACAUAAGUUUUUUAAGAUCUUUAUGACAUACAAUGAAAAGUUGUAAAAACAAUAUAUGAAAGACCUUGGUGAAUUCAAUUACUUUUUAAGCAUUAAAUUUUCUAUAAAACAAAGAGGUUAGUCCUAUAUCAUUAAAUCAAACAAAAUAUAUGACUUCAAACUUAAUAAAUCUGGAAUAGAUAAUACAAAGUCAAAUACAACUUCAAUGAAAAAAAAGACAUUUUAUUAGACAUCAAUAUAAUAAAUAAAUGGAUGAAGAUGGAAUAAAACUUUACUAAAGAGUGUUAAGGAUAAGAACUUGAUGAAAGCAAAUAAAUAAGUGAGACUCUUUUAAAGAAAUAUGACAAAAUAGAAAUAGAGAAGUAUGUAUAUUAAAAUGAAAAUUAGAAUGGCUAUUUCCAAAAGACAAGGAAAUUAGAGACUCUUGAAACUAGACUAGAAGCAAGAAAGAAAUUUACAAGAGUGAAGAAGGCUUCAUUCUUGCAUCUAUAUAUACUAUCUUUCUAUGAUCUAUGUGGCAACAUUCUAUAGGACCUCUAAAAACGUGUUGACUUUGCAUGACAUAUAUCUUAACUUGCAAGACAAGUUUUCUAUAUAGGCGCCACAUAGUUAGCUUGUUCUAUAAGCUACCAAUACAUGUAGCAUGUGGUUAGCUUGUUUACUAAGUUUUAACCUAUCAAUCAAUUACAAACACAUGUAAAAUCAAAAAUAGCAUCUAAAAAGCCUCUAGAAAGCUUUUUUAUUAGUUUAUAUUAAUUUUUUUAUAAAUUAAUAGUUUUAAUAAUAAAAUCCUUGUGUAAUUUAUUAUUUUUCAUUCUAUUAUAGAUUUUUGUACAUAAAAUAUUUAAAACGUGGGCCUUGCACUUAGUUACAUAUAUCAAAUAAGUAUAUGACAUAGUAAGUACAAUAUUCAAUAUUUUAUCACUUUUAUAUUAUAUACUUUAAGUAGUUUAGGUCUUUUUUAUUCAUGUUUCUUGUCUUCUUAUAGCCUUGUAUUUAAAUGCUUAAGUUGAUUGACAAUCAUAUUGACCAAAUUCCUACAUCACAAAAAAAAAAAAAAAAAAAAAAAAAAAAAAAAACUUUAAAAGCAAAGGUAUCAUCUCUUAGUACACUACUAUCAAGUCCCUAAGCAAUUGGAAGAUAAACUCUCGCACUAACAAUGAUCUUUCAAACAACAUUUACUACAAUAACCAAUAUUAAAAAUUAGUAAAUUAUUGCAAUAUAAUCCCUCAUCAAUAAAUAUCUAUUCAUAUAUUCACACCAUAAUUUCAAUACCACAAGUUUCAAAAACUUAGCUUUUACUAUAAUAUAUGCUAUCUUUUCAAUAAACACUCACCAUUCCAAUUUUUUUCUUUAUAUAUUUUGCAUACACUCCAUCUUGGUGGCUUUUAAUUCCUUAACAUAAAGAAUAUAUUUUAAAAUGAUAUUAUAGUCGAAUCUACCUUUGAAACCAAGAUGUUCUUGGCUUUGAAAUAGACCUAUUGAGUUAGUGUUAAUAUGUAGGCUAAUGAAGUCUAUAUUGAACAAAAUAUUGUAUACUAAAUAGUUGACAAUCAUUAAACUAUUCUUUUAGAACACUUUUUGUCCCCCUACUUUAUUGACCAAUUAAAAAAGAUGCAAGUUAUAAUAAUGUGGGGCAUAGACAAAAGACUGCGGAAAAGUGGGGCGUGGAGUGCAAUGAAAGGCAUUGGACUGUUUUAGGGCCAGCAAAGAAGCAACAAAUCUUCAUUCUAACUACUGGGCUGGUCAGCCAAUUCAAAUCACAUCCCGAAGCAUUGUAGUAGGCUGUGUAGCCACCGACACGUAGCAUGUGUGGACUGGGCACCAAUCACACAGUCUACUGAAUAACCUAACUAAAGGAUCAAUCACACAAACCUACGUGCAAUCCAGAUGGGACUUAUCUAGUCAUGUUGAUUGCCCAACCAAGCAUUGGCUCAUUCGAUCGUAUCUCGUAGCAAAGUGUGCAAACAUCACAAUGCUUGUAUUUAGAUUAGAUCAAAGCGUGUCAAGCUUUCAAAACAAUGCAGGCAGAUUAACAAAGUCUGCAGGAACUACUGAUUUGACUGAGCACAAUUCAUGACUCGAUAACUACGGCAUGGAGAAAAGCUGCUGGAAGUUUAUAGGAUCCAUCACAUCUUUACCACCGUGAAAAAACUCUCUCGCGAGCAGCCCGUUGGCCUUGUCAGUUGGAUGGAAUGGAUCCCAGAAGAGGUAAGCAGCUCGGUCCGGGCAAGUGCGUACCGUCGGUAGGCAUGGAAUCAGUCCGUUGUACGGUCCUCCUCCGCAACAGCCCUUGUUAACCUCCGUGAAACCUAAGAAUUCAAUGUAUCCACGAUCAGAAACCAUAAUGUGGUAUGGUUGACUUACCCAUCACAUGCUUAACAACUGAACUGCGUAAGAAAGUGGGUAGUGAGCGCUUGCCGAAUUGUGCUGGACUGGAUACAUAUGACGCAAUUAGAUCAUAGACGUUCGCAUAGACGAAGUUGGAUCCAGGGAGGCUUGCAGUGAGUUGCUUUAGGAGAAUUUUGGAUGCGGCGUUGAACCCUCUCACAUAGCUGUUGACAAACUGUAUGCAGCUCCCAUCGGGACUUCUUUGAUUGUAGAGCUGAGAGGGGAUGCAUCCCAGCGGUCCUACGCCGAAGACGACUAUCUUGCGCGCUCCAAGGCCGUAAAGUGUCUGUGGUCAUUGCAAGUUUUGUCAAUGUCUGGCGACAUGCAAGUUCCUAUGUUUAAAUAGAUUUAGUUUCGACAUCUGUGAGGGUAUAGUUUUAGACCCGCAGUUGCUUUUUGAAUUCUGAAAUGAGGAGGUCUUGGUAUUGUUGGGGUGUGUACUGCCGCGAAGUAGCGGACCCCGUAAGCAGGUAAUUAUUAAUGUAGUCGUUGCUUCCAAUGAUGACAGACCACAGCGACUUGGCGAAUACUUCUCCCGUUUUAGCUUCUCCGAUAAGCUGCGCGAACUGGGCCUUUGUGUUUUCCAAGUAAGUUAGCUGCUUGUUCAGAGAUAUGCGCCCAAUCUGCGCGAAAUCAGUCGACGAACCUCCUUAGAGUAUGGAAACCGCAGAUUUCUCAACAUCAAAUUUACCUGAGAAUGCAGAUUGUAAUAAAUCAGUAUCUAACGAUAGACAUACAUAAUUGAAGCCAGUAGAGUCGAGGAUGCCAGCUGCAGCUGAGGCGUAGUUGAUGCCUUGAAGAAUAGCUGGUCCCUGCGUCUCCUUACUCAGAUAUGGUGGAGGAAACGGCAAGCCCAUCAUUUGAACUGCAAUUUCGCCUCAAACAUUUUUAUUAGUAAUCAAGUAAUCAAGAUCGGCCACUGUGUAAAGUAAGAAGUGUGGAAAAUUAGGAACCAAGGAAGUUAACUUUAAUUGUUGUCGAGCGCACCAAUGAAGUCCGCGGUAGUGCGGCCAUUGCAGAAACGUCCUGUGGGCCCCUGAGGAAAGUCCAAGCCAUUCGGACGAAAAUUGGACUUGGCAAGUGUCAGAAUGUAAUUGUUAUUGCCAGGGUCGACUAGCGAGUCGCCGAGGAUGAAACUAGCAGGCUUGACAGUUUGUCCGUUUGAUGCUGUGAUUCCGCUGAAUACGACGAAUAUCAUAGUGAGCCGUAGUAAAAUACCAAUCCUCAACGUGAAGAGUUGCCGUAUUCCCAUCUCUCCACCUACUUCCUCUCAAAUUAUGACCAAUCUGCACAACCCAAAUCUUGUUAACAAAUGCCUAUGUAUUCAGCUACGAUCCUGGCUAUGUCUGAUGCAAUGUUCUCAGCAGAAAAGCAUCAUGCGCCUUCGAAGCAUCGCAUAUCUAAAGAAUCAGAAGACAUUGCACCUGUGCGGUAGGAGCUGUACAGCGUGCCAGUUGUUUAACAACUGCGGGGUAGAAUUCUUGGAGCUUGACAUCGUCCGGUUACUCGGAUUCUGGCACCGGCGACGGGACUGGAUCCUUACAGAGGAAACCGUGAAAGCUCACCUACUGAAAGAUCAGCGCAGCUAAUGCAACAACUGUGAGGGACAUGAGAGCCACCCUAGGUUUGAUGGCACCCUGUACGGACAAACCAAUAGUCUCUGGUGUUGUGUAAGAGCUUGCAACUCCACUUCAGCUUGUGCAUGUGACUCAGCUGGCUCUGCUUCAUUGAUAGCACUAGACGAUGUUGCUCGUAAUGACCCCGAUUAUGCUAGCUACACGGUAAAUUUAUCAAGAGCGACAUACAGUAUAUGUUAAGUAAUAAUCUUCCCAAGGAGCUCGUGAGUUGAGAACAAGAUGGUGAAUAAUUGCACGAGCAUUUCAGUCUGUACAAAUAACUUCGACACAAUCAUCUCCGUGCCUCACUUGAAUUCGAAAAGAAUGCGGUCACUGUCUCGUGAGAUGGCCCAAAGCUAUGCAUCCGACAUUUUGGAAAUCAUCCCCCCCUCAGCAGGAGAUGGAAGUCCCACUUCCAUUAUAUGCUUUAAAAUAGACAACAUUACACAGCCCACAGAAAUUCACAUUGUUUUUAGCCAAGGAUACGUCCUAUAUGUACAUUUUGAACAGCACGUUAUAGGAAGACCGCAAGAGUAUGCAAUUCAACUCCGUUCUUACAACACUUUUUAUCGAGCAGAUCAAAAGCUGCUGAUUCAGCAAUCAAACGCAUUAGACGAAACACUAAUCAACAGUAUAACUAAUCUGAGAACGAGAUCUUGAACAUCCUGUUGGCUAGGGCUUCAUGGAUGCAAGCGUCUUGACGUUCACAGGUUCUAUGGCAUCCUUGCCACCUUGGUAGAAUGCACUGGCGAGAAUCGCGUUGGCCUUGUCGGUGGGGUGGAAAGCAUCCCAGAACAAGAAGGCUGCGCGGUCCGGGCAGGGGAUCAACCCUAAGAGGCAGGGAACGGCGCCAUUAUAUGGCCCCGCCCCGCAGCAUCCCUUAUUCACCACCGAAAACCCUGUGCAGUCAAUCAGUAAAUCAGAUCAGUUGCGUUGCAUUCUGCAGUGCUUCCCAUUCAGUGUCUUAGACUUAGAUCUAUAUCUCUCCCCGAAUGACAGGGCAGAGGGACAAUGUGCUACUCACCGUAUUUGGCUGGGUCGUUAAUCAGUGAAUAAGUUAAAUCAUACGCUUUGGCAAAGACGAAGAUGGAUCGGGGGAGACUUCCGGUGAGUUGCUUCAAAAGAACGCUCGUUGCUGAGUUGAAUCCUCUCACAUAGCUAUUGACGAACUCUAUGCAGCUUCCGUCGGGGCUUCUUUGGUUGUAGAGCUGUGAGGGGAUGCAUCCCAGCGGGCCAACGUUGAAGACGAAAACUUUGCGACCACCGAUGCUGUAGAGUCUCUGUUACGGAGAACGUUGGGGAUAUCAUCAACAUUACAGCCACGUACAAAACGAUGAUAAGUUUUAUUCUUUGAGAAGUGGACGGGUUUCUCUUGGGUUUUCACUUAGUUUGUAGAUAGGGUAGGGGUGUAGUGCUGAAUUACCCUCAACAACUUGUCGAAUUCUGAAAUGAGAAGGUCUUCGUACUCUUGUGGAGUGUAUUGUUGUGAAGUAGCAGAUCCCGUGAGCAGAUAAUUGUUGAUGUAGUCGUUGCUGCCGAUUGUGAUGUAGAAUAGCGCGUUGGCAUAUAGGUCUGCCGUUUUGGCCUCUCCUAUCAUCUCUGUGAUUUGGGCCUUCGUCUUUUCUACGUAAUCCAGUUGCUUGCUUAGUGGAAUACGCCCAAUCUGCCACACAAAACAUCCAUCAAAGCUGUAGCUGUACCAAGUGCUCGAAUUUUUCCAACGAAAAACAUGAAAGAAGCAAAAAAACUUUACCACCUGCAAAGCCUUGAACCUGGGGAAAUGACCAUGCCAAAUUAGUGGAACACUGUCGUGGUAACGAUCAUCUCAAAUAUUCCUCAGCUUUCUCACAAAAAUGCCAAUUUGAAGCAGGAAAUAAUGCAAAUGCAGGCAUUGCACAAAAUUCAAAGAAUUUAUGUUUGAUUCCGUAUUGCGUGCUUAUGCAUUGCGCUGUGAGACGUAAAAGAAUUCCAAGAGAACAGUAGCAAGAGUGCUCUUCAUGUCUCAUUUACAUGAUCUUCUGAAGCGAGGGAUUGCGUCAGUGCAAUUGCUUACGUAGUUGUAUCCAGUCGAAUCGAGGAUGCCAGCCGCUGCUCCUGCAUAGUUGAUCCCCUGAAGAAUGAUGGGUCCUUGAGCCUUGGGACUCAAGUAGGGCGGAGGAAAAGGCAGGCCCAUAAGUUGAGCUGCAGCGUCAAUCACAAGACUUAACCAGAAUGAAUUUCUUGAUUGAAAUUAAAUAAAGGAAGUUAGUUAAAGAAACAAAUGUUCUAGGAAAGAGCAUCCUCUAACGCACCCAAGUUGUCGGCAGUAGUGCGGCCAUUGCAAAAUCUUCCAGUGGGUCCUUGAGGGAAAUCCAGUCCAUUCGGAAGAAAGUUCGACUUGGCAAGCGUGAGGAUGUAAUUGUUGUUGCCGGGGUCGAUGAGUGAGUCACCGAGAAUAUACAUCGCAGGCAUUAACUGCCCCAUCGCAGCUUGCAUGUUCCAGAAGAGGAACAACGCCACUGUCAGCCAUGGUAAACUGGCGAACUUCGGGAAGCACUGAACAGGUUGAAUUGCUCUAGACAUUGUCGUCAAAUUCUGCAAUUUGUAUUUAACAACGCACGUGAGACCUUAAUUAUACUAGUUAUAAAAUUCAGUAAAAUCGUCAUGACAGUUCUGAAGAUGUGAACGUGCUCAAAAACGAUAAAAUGUUAACGGGGGGGCUGAAGUGAACACUUCAAUACUGGUCCUCUACCUUCAACUGCGCAACUCGUAAGCUCUGCCACUCUCCUACCCUUUCGAUUCAAUUGCAUACGGAUGCACAAACAUGAGCUCAGUUCUACUAUCGGUACCGGUUCUGGAGUUCAUAAGUACUGAGGACUUUGAUUUUUGGUGGCAACUCUGCAUCUGAAGUCGUAAAUGCAUGCUGUAUAGUCUCACCAACUCAAAGAUCACCCAUGUAAAGCUGCUGCAUGGAUUUGAUAAUUUGCUCCAACUGUAGCAUGGGUUAAUUCUGAUGAAUAAUGGAUUUUUUUCCUUUAAUGCUGGUGGUCUGCACAGCUGGGAUUGACAAAGUUUGUCAGAAUGUGAAGGAGACAAAUUGAAAUACAGUUGAUAGAAAGUCCUCUGGGCAACUUAUACAUCCCACUUUCGUUUUUCUAAGCAAUGCUUAGUUUUCAGGCAACUGAGAGCCUCACCGACAAGACUCCCAUCUGUGGUGUGGGUGAGUUUCUCUGUUUGGGUUUUUUUCGCAUUACCGACUGCCUGGUUCGAUGUUGGCUCUGAUGGCCACUAUUAUGGUGCAGAAGCGACACAAUGCAUAAGGCGGCUUUCCUCACACUCUUGGAGACCUACAAAGUAUUUAACCCUAGGCAGAUUCAAGAAGACACUCAUGUCGGCGAAGUACAAGAAUCAUAGAAUCCCAGAGAAAACGAAACUCUUGAGUUCUAAGUUUUGGUUAAAUUUAAACGAUGAGUUUACAGAAGUAUUGACGGUUGAAAAUCGUUGAGUUUGUAAACCUCGUCGUAGACAGAAUGGAGCUCCCCUUUUCGGAAGAAACUAAUGACUAGAAUUAACUCCGGCAGCUGACAAGUGGAUCCCAUGAUACAUGCUGAUAAUUUGUGUGAACCUAUUGCGAAGUUAUCUAUCACCUGACAGAAGGGUACUAUGACAACACGAGAGUGAAGUCCAACAUUCGCAGCUUUCCAGGCGAAACUGUAAUAAUUCAUGUAGUACAUGAUGUAUUUGCAAUAUUUGGUAUACGGCAUUGCAUGCUAUAGCGACGGCGUCAGUGUCGUGGCCUCUUAAACUAUUUAUGUCGAAUCGAUAGACCCCAUCAUUUUGUGAUUUAUCCUUGAAACGUAAUGCUGACCUUCCCUCCUGCGAAUGCCGGUAACAUGAUUAGAACAUCGAUAACGCUGAACUCAUCUCUCAACAUGACUAGGUAGUUUGCGGUGAUCUGUCUCUUAAAACUCUCGUCUCUAAAACUCCAGAAACUGAUGCAGAUGUCUGAAACGAAUCCCAAUCAUCUCAAUUGCCGCCUCCAAGUUCAAGCUUGGAGGUGACUCUACAAUGAGCUUCAAUCUGCAGCGUGGAUGGAGAGCGUUGUCAAUGACCAAAACACAAUGACUCCUCUUCAACCCACAUCAGGUUGCUAACAACUCCCGAUGACAUGAACUCACUCUGCCAUUCUGAGCAGCAGACCCGAGAUUAAAGGGGUUGCAAAUCACAUGGUUGUGUCUGUC
rnacentral:lncRNA from 1 species